rnacentral:lncRNA from 1 species
GAUGUGAUGGUAGAUAAAUUCAAGAUACUUAUUUUGUAUGCACUUAGAAAUAUAAAAGUAGCAGAUAUAAGAAAAAUAAUAUUAGAAAAAGCUUUUGGUAAAAAUUAUAUGUCUAGAAUAAGCUAUAUACCACAAAUACCUAACGACUCUUAUAAAUACUUAAGGUGAUAAGUUACAUAAAAAAAAAAAGAAGAUAAAAACAAAAACUUUUGCAGUUACUAGAAAAAAUAAAAAUAAACACAUGGAAAAUAAAGAUAUAAAAUUUCUUAAUAAAAAUAUGCAAAAACUACUAAGACUAAAACAAACAGCUACAAAACAAUUUUAAAAAUAGAUCAUUUAGAUUAUCUUAAAGUUUUAAUAUUAUAUAUACUUAAAAACAUAGAAAUUAUAGAUAUUAAGAAAAUAAUAUUAGAAAAAGUAAUAGACUACGAAAUUGAAACUAUAAAUUAUCUAGAACAGUUAUACGAAGAAAUUUACCCAGAAGGAUAUUAUUCAGAUUAAAAAAUGUUAGAAUAUAUUAGACAAACUAGAGAAAAUCAAGAAAAUCUAAAUAAUGAAAUUAAUUAUAGAAACCGAAUUAGACAAAUAAUGAAAGACCUAAAAGAAAAAUUAAUAUGUAACUCUGCAAUUACUACAGGAUAAAAUAAUAAACCAAACAAAUUAAUGAAUAUAUCUUACGAAAAAAGUAAAUCAUUAAAAGAGAUUGAAACAAAAUUUAAAAAAUAUCCACGCACAAAGAAAAAUAGAUUCAUUAGAUACCUAAUAAAUCUAUUUCAUACGUCAGAUAUCCGCACCCCACUACAAUACCUAAUAAAUCUAUUUCAUACAUCAGAUAUCCGCACCCCCCUACAAUUAAUAUAUAACAAAUUAUUCUUUUAGAUAUUUUAAGUUGUUAACUAUUGUAAUUUAUAAUACAUUUUAUAUAAUUUUAAAAUAAUAUAUGUUACUCUCCUUGUCUAAACUUUUGUGACAUUGAUAGUCAAUUAUAUUUUAAAAAUAAUUUAAUUUUUUAAUUAUUGUGACUUAUAAUACUUUUUCUUCUAUUCUAAACUAAGUGGAAUAAUGCUUGUUGGCCAUAAAAAUUAAUUAGGGGUGAUAUAAUAAAAUCACAAUUGAAGCAACGAAGUAGACAUAUCUUAAAUGAGUCACAACAACUAAUUAAAAGUGAUAUACAAAAUUACUAUAAAAAAUACUUGUAAAAACAUUUAAGUAGACUUCAUAUAAGAUGUUAAGUUAGUUUAAAACAUCAAGACUUAAUUUAUCAUUUUAUAUCUAUUUUAUAUUUUUUUUAUUAAAUAUUAUUAUUUUUUAAUAGUUAGACGACUUAUAAUAAUUAAUUAGGGGUGAUAUUUAGUAAAAUUACGAUUGAAGCAAUUGAAGCAGACUUGUCAUAAAUGUCUUUUUUACAUUUUCAUUAAAUAUUUUUUAAUAUAUAAAUAACUAAUAAUAAUCAAUUCGAAAUGAUAAAGUACAAUCACAGAGCAAGCAGCUGAGGCAGUGCCACAUAAGCAGAGAUAUUUUGACGCUCUGCUUCCUGCUUUACUUCUUGUUAGUAAGUAAAUUUAAAAUAAUUUAAGUUUUUAAUUAUUGUGAUUUAUAAUACAUUUUCUUCUAUUUCAAUUUAAGUGACAUAAUACUUGAUGACUAUAAUAAUUAAUUAAGGGCGACAUAGUAAAAUCACGAAUGAAACAGACAUUCCAUAAAUGUCUGUUUUACUUUUUUAUUAAAUAUUUUAUUUUUUAAUAUAUAUAAAUAACUCAUAAUAAUUAAUUAAAGAUGAUAUAAAAAAAUCACGGAGCAAGCAACAUAAGCCGGCAUGUCAAUGCUCUGCUGCCUGCUUUACUUCUUAUUAAUAAGUAAAAGCGGCAAAAUGUUUGAUGGAUAUAAUAAUUAAUUAGGGAUGAGUAAAAUUAUGAUUAAAAUAGUUGAAGUAAACAUGUCAUAAAUAUCUAUUUUAUAUUUUUAUUAAAUAUUAUUAAUUUUUUAAUAUAUAAAAAAAUUAUAAUAAUUAAUUAAGAGUGAUAUAGUAAAAUUAAAAAACAAACAGAUGAAACAGAUAAGAUAAGCCCAUGUUCUCAGCUUAGUAAAUAAAAUAAGUAAUACAAGCUAAUUAUAAGGUCCCCAUAAUUUGCCAAGAAUUUCUGUCCCCAAAUUAGUUGCUUCUCUCGUCUUAUAGUUUUGUGAUUUUAAUUAAACGACAUACAAUAUUUGAUUUUAUAUUCGUUUUAUUCUUCGCAUUUUAAUCGAUAUGAUAUGAUUUAAUUAAAUAUAUAAGUUAAAUAAGAAAGAAAAAAAGAAUUUUAAAAAAUUAUAACUAAAAUAUGUGAUGAGUAAUUUUGGAGAUAAAAUUAGCCAAUACAUUUAUUUCUUAAAAAUAACAUACACAAAUCAAGACAGUGUAAAACAUGUGAUGAGAUAUAUGUUGCCAUAACAUGAUAUUGAAAAUAAAAAUAGGUGUAAUUAAAAUAUGUGAUAGAAUACCUUCGGAGACAUCAAUUUCAAAGAGAAAAUUAGCAUGAUCCUCCUUACUUAUAAACAUGACACAUAAAUUAAGAGUAGUGUAAAAAUGCGAUAAGCUAUUCGUAGCUAUAUAAAACGUGACAUUAACGAUUAAAUAAAAUUAUAAGCUUAUAUUAUUUCAGCCUUGAAAAUAUAUUGUUUUCUUAAAAAAUAACUCAUGAAAAGAGUAUUUGCUAUUUUGAUAUCCAACAAAAAGAAGAAAUUUAAGAAAAAAGAAUUUUUUGAUAUUUUUCAAAAUAUCUUUCGAACUCAUCAUCUCAAAUAUGUUAUGAUAUUCUUAUAAUUAUAAGUUUAUAUUAUUUAUCAUAAAAUGAAAAAAUGUAUUAAUGAGUUUUCAAAUGUAAAAUGUGUUAAUUAUGUAUUUUCAAAUAAACAAAGAAAAAUAUAUAAAUAAAAUAGAAGAAUAACAUAAUUGACAUGAUUUUUUAGUAAUUAGCAUAAAUAAAAUGUAUCAAAUAUAAUUGAUCUACGUAAAUGAAAGCUUUGCUCUUUAAAAGUGAGAGUAUUACUAGUAUAUAUGGAUGAAAAAACAAAAGUCUUUCGUGUUAUUUCAUAAUACGGUAUUGUAUUACAUGACCCAAAAUGUGUGCAACGUCUAUGGCGAGAAACAAAUUAAAUUUAAAUAAGAACGUGUUGUAAAUGUAUUUAUAUUAUAGUGAAUGUCUAUUAAGAUCUACUUUGAUAUCUAUUAGGAUUUGAAGCAUUUGUCUUUUACUCAGACUAGGAGUAAAUUUCUCUUAUAAAUAGAGGGGUUUUGUUCAUUGUAUUUAUAAUCCGAUGAUCUCUUAUCCCUCAAGAGAAGAAAUAAGAACCACUCUCUCUAUUUUCUCUACUCUUCUUGUUUAUUCUUUCUUGUUUUAUUACACGUUAUCAGCAUGAUACUCUGCCAAAUAAGGUGAGAUUAUAAAUCUGAAGGAUUUCAAGGUUAGUAAUUCUUUAUAUUAUCUUUCUUUUGCUACUACUAAUAUAAUUAUUAUUGGAUUUGAGGAAAAAUAAUUGGUUUGGAACCAUUUAUAUUUUAGAUUUAUUCCUCAAGAACAAUAUUAUCAAAAUGGAUGAUAAUAUGUUGGGUUCAAGUCCCAUCAAUUUAUGCCUAAGACGCCUUUAUAUGGAUAAUACGUUGAGAUUGGAUCUCAAUGCAUGUAUUGAUGAUAUUGUGAUGGCUAAGGCAAAAUAAUGGGUGUUUGAUGAAAAGUUGUAAAAUUCGACCCAUUGAAUAUUCUUCAUUCCAUGAAGUGAAUGUGGUAGCAAUAUAUUAUAAGUCUAAAAUAUGACAAUCUACUUCAUUCUUGAGGUGUAUGUGGUAGUAGUGCAUAUUAUGUCUGAAAGAAGACAAGUGAUUGAAUGCACGAAUAUACGCGUGAAUGGACAAUAUGAUAAUGAUCAUAAAAAAUAAUGAUAUUUUUGCAUGUGUAUAAUGAUCAUAAGAUAUGUUAGAGAAAAAUUCUCUAGAUCAUAUGUAUGCCCCGAGUUGCUCCUGAAGUAGCAAUAUUUUGAAAGAGGUUCUAAGCUAUCAUAAUUUGAUACACUUAAGGCAUGAUUAUAUUCCAUUCCUGGGGAAUGAGAAGCUUAUUAAUGCAAACGUGCACUUGAUUGUGAUGGUAUCACAACUCACCUCCGAAAGAGGUUGAAUAAUUGAGAAAAGUUAUUUUGAAAUGAGAAGCUUAUUAAUGCAAACGUGCACUUGAUUGUGAUGGUAUCACAACUCACCUCCGAAAGAGGUUGAAUAAUUGAGUAAAGUUAUUUUGAAAUCUACUUCUAAAGUAGUAAGCCUGAAAUUUAUUCCUAUAAUAGUAAAUCUGAAAUUUACUAAAGAAAAAACACAUAUCAUGGUAAACUUAGAGUUUACUAGCAUAAAAGUUCAUAAGUUGACAUGAACGACUGCGACAUCUUAAAGAUGAGCAUAUUAAGUAUUAAACAUAUAUUGAAGAAUUCGAAAAUUCUUCAUGAACUUUAAUGUUGCUUGUUCUCAUGAUACGUUGGUUUGACCAACUAAUUUUGGGAUUGGAUCCCUCAAAAUCUGAAAAGAAUAAAAGGUGAAUAGGGGACCGUUCACCUAUCAUGUGAUAUGUUGAAAAGAUACAACAAUAAGAUGAUCACAUGUACAUUCAUUGUCAACCUGCAGUUUGACAUUCAUAAAGUUGCUUGCUCAACAAAAUUGAGUUAAGAACAUAAUUUUCAGAUUGUGUAAUCAAGAAAGUGAUGAUGAUGAUUUGGCAUUGAAUGACUUCGAUAAAUAGCUAAACCAUCGCUAAUGAGAACAAAGCUUCAUGUGUUGAUCUGAAAUAUGAUAUGUUACAUACAAUAACACUUGUAUGCAUUAGACCAAUAAAUUAUGAUUAUUUCUUUCCCUCAAUUGGUUCAAGGUCAUGAACCAACUAUUCCAUCUAAUAGUUUUGAUGUACGAUAUAAGAUUAAUGAAUGUACCAUGAUGCACAAAGAUGAAUCCAUCAAAGAAAAUGGAGGAUGUAUGCUAGCUUUCCUAACAUAAGGGGGAGAUUAUAAGCAGCUAUGAAGUAUGUUAGGAAUUAUCAUCAGAUUCUUAUUCAAAAGAUAAUUCAAGUCAAAUGCCGAACGCAUCUCAUAUUUAAGCUGCAAGUGCUCCUAUUUUAUGUCUCUAAAGGACAAAGUCUAUGCAUGCAUGAAGCGUGAUAGACCAAUCGGUUCCAAAUGAAAUAAUACUUGUAUAGAAUAAGGAACAAAUAAUCAUAAUAAGAAGGUAAUAUGCGCUNNNNNNNNNNNNNNNNNNNNNNNNNNNNNNNNNNNNNNNNNNNNNNNNNNNNNNNNNNNNNNNNNNNNNNNNNNNNNNNNNNNNNNNNNNNNNNNNNNNNNNNNNNNNNNNNNNNNNNNNNNNNNNNNNNNNNNNNNNNNNNNNNNNNNNNNNNNNNNNNNNNNNNNNNNNNNNNNNNNNNNNNNNNNNNNNNNNNNNNNNNNNNNNNNNNNNNNNNNNNNNNNNNNNNNNNNNNNNNNNNNNNNNNNNNNNNNNNNNNNNNNNNNNNNNNNNNNNNNNNNNNNNNNNNNNNNNNNNNNNNAAAUGUUGAAUAUUGUCACUUGACAAAACUUAUGUGAAAACUUUUAAGGAUUCAAACUGCUUGAAGCAUAUAAAAGUUUCUGGGAAACUUAUUUAUAAUCCUUAUAUUGUAUAAGCUUAUUGCUUGAACAUCAUUGGAACUCUUGGAGAGUUUUCAAAGCAAUAGAUUAUUUGUUGAAAUUUGAAAUAUAUCGAAUUGGAUUGGUUAUGAAGUACCAUAUUUUAGUGCAAUUGAUGAACUCAUGUACCUUACAAAUACUACAAGGCCUAUAGCCUUUUCAGUCAAUUUAUUAGCAAAUUAUAUUUUUGCUCCUACUAUGAAGCAUCAAAAUGGGAUAAAACACAUGAGCUUAUUUUAUUCUAAAGAUUACAGUCUCAAUCUUAUUGGUCAUGCAUAUGUUGGGUACUUAUCUGACCCGUAUAAAGCUCGGUCUCAAAUAGGCUAUGUGUUCAUAUGUGGUGGUACUUCCAUAACUUGGAGAUAUACAAAGCAGUCUAUCGUAGCCACUUCAUCGAAUUAUGUUGAGAUAAUAACUAUUCAUGAAGCAAGCCGAGAAUGUGUAUGGUUGAGGUCCAUAAUACAUCUCAUUCGAGAAAAAUGUGGUGUGAAAUAUAACAAUCUACCCAUAAUUUUAUACAGAGAUAAUUCAGCAUACAUAGCACAUCUUAAAAGAGAAUUCAUAAAUGAAGAUAGAACGAAACACAUUUUGCCAAAGCUUUACUACAUACAUGAGCUAUAAAAGAAUGAUGAUAUUAACGUGCAACAGAUUCGUUCAACUGACAAUAUGACAGAUUUAUUCACCAAAUCUUCUCCAAUUGCACCUUUCAAGAAGAUGCUGCACAAGAUCGAGAUGCAAAGGCCAAGAAUGUUCUCAUUAGGGGGAGUUAAUACGCGCUGUACUCUUUUUCUCUUAUGAGGUUUUGUCCCACUGAGUUUUCCUUGUAAGGUUUUUAAUGAGGCAGCCGAAAUGCGUAUUAUUAGAGAUGUGUACUCUUUUAUCUUCACUAGAUUUUUUUUUCUACUGGGUUUUUUCUAGUAAGGUUUUAACGAGGCACAUUAUAUACUAAUUAGACAUUCAAGGGGGAGUGUUAUAAAUGUAUUUACAUUAUAGUGAAUGUCUAUCAAGAUCUACUUUGAUAUCUAUUAGAAUUUAAAGCAUCUGUCUUUUACUCAGACUAGGAGUAAAUUUUUCCUAUAAAUAGAGGGGUUUUGUUCAUUGUAUUUACAAUCUACUGAUCUCUCAUCCCUCAAGAGAAGAAAUAAGAAUCACUCUCUCUAUUCUCUCUACUCUUCUUCUUUAUUCUUUCUUGUUUUAUAACAGAACAAUUUUUUUUUAAAAAGUUGUACUUAUACAUGUGAAAGGUACUUUCAAAAAUAUUAUAUAAAAUUAAUAUGACGAAUACAAAAUUAGCUAGCAUGUUCCUUGCUAAAAGAUAGUAUGCACAAAUUGAUACAUUCUAAAUCAUGCGAUGAGCAGCCACAAUCUUAUGUGAAAAAAAUGGGUCACAUAAUUCGUGGCCAUCCCACUAAAUUUAGUACUUGAUUAUUUGUAUAUAUAAUGACUUUCAUAUUAAUUUUCAGACUUUUGCGUGUUUUGAUAAUUUUUCCCUUCCUCAUAGUUGCUUUAUACCUUUCAAGAGUGGUGGGAAUGAUUUGCACGGUCUCGAUACAUCGAGAGUGAUUUGUAUGAAUUUGUGGUUUUGUAAUAAUCUUAAAGCAAUUAAUUUGACUUCGGUCAACAUAUUGUGAUCCAAGCUCCAGAUGGUGAUUGUGAGGUUCCAUUAAAUUCAGAAUAUCGAUUUUGGGUUAGGGCCAUGGUUAGUUCGGGCCCCGAGCUUUUAUUUUGCAUUUUGCCCUCUUAAGCAGAAACUAGUUAAAGUUAGCCAAAAAGGGAUCCUAGGAGCUAAUUCGUAGUAAAUAAUUAUUUUUAAAAAUCUGAUGGUUUCAUUGAGUUUGAAAUGUCAAAAUUAGCCUAAUAGCAUUAUUGAUUUAUUUUUGUGCGGUCCCGAAUGAAUUUCAAAAAUUUGAUUGGAUAGUUUUGACUUGUGUAUGUUGCUGGUUUUAGAUGCUUUCUGGUGCAAGUUUUUUCUUCUUCGCAUUCACGACCUUCUUUGUUGCAUUUUCCAAACACUAAUAUUCAUAUCUUCGUGUUCGCGGCCCCUGUGUCGUGUUUGCGAAGAAUGAAUAUCUCCUUUUCAGCUAUCACGACGGAUGAAAUCACGAUCGCAAAGAGUAAUUAGUGGGCUGACCUUUCAUUUUCUUCAUUACGCUCACGGUCAAAAUGCUUGUGUUUGCAAAGGUUCGGGUGAAACAAGCCUUGCAUUCACGACAGUGGGCCCGCAUUUGCAAAGGCCAAAUGACCCGUGAUCUUAGACAUAUUUAUACACCUAAGUGUCAUUAUCUAUGCAUAUUUAGCUUAGUUUUAAGGAUUUUUAGAUGUGCUUAAUGAGGUAUUAAGGGUGUAAUUAUGUAUUUAUGUGUUAAUUUACAUGUUUAGAGUGUUUAUGGUGCAUUUGAAAUAAGUUAGGAGUCAAAAUGAUCAAAUAAAGUUUAGACAAGAAAACUAGUGGUGCUAGCUUGAGCUAUGCUUAUUCUAGUGUACUUUGAUGAGCUCUAUUGUGCUGUAUGAACUAAUGAUUUGUUAUAUGAUGUUGAAAGAGACUGUUGGAGGUGUUAUGGAAUUUCAUUUAAUCCUAAAAACAAGUGAUACGAAGUGGGGAAACAAGGAUCAAACGUACAACAAAAUAGGAGCAAAAACGAGAGCGAAUCCUCACCCAUGAGAAGGGGCCUUGCGCCGCACCCCCAAGGCAUGGAUGGAACUUGUGCUGCACCCUAUAGGGAGAGGUCACACUACCUCACCAUGCUAUGAGUGUGCUCCGGACCCCCCAGGUCAUGUGAUUGGCCUGCAACGCAACCCCCACCCCCUACGUCUAAACAUUCAAAAGUUGAUUUUUUAUGUCUUUAAGUUAGAUGACAAUGUUGAAAAUACAUAGUUUCAUAUGAUGAAUCCUUAUGGACGACCUAAAUACUAUAUAAGGAGUAAUUAUCCACAGUUACACGAUACUUUUGGAACAACACAAUAUUAGAGAGAAGAGAAGGCAUCAAAGGGGCUCUACACUAGGGUUUUGCUUCUUUAUUUUAGUUCCCUUGUAGUUUUUACUAAUGGAUUCAGUUAUGAUGAUUCUUUAUAAGACUAUGAGUGCCUAAACAUCUUCAUUCUAGGGUUGAUGCUACAACAUGAUUGUGUAAGUAUGGUUUUAUAGUUGGUUUAUAUGGUUAUCAAGUUAUGUAAUUGUUCUUGUAUUUUUUUUUUACUAUUCUAAGGUGUCAUGAACUUUAGCAUAAAUUUAAAUCUCAAAACGAAUUGAUCAUAGGAGUGGAGAGACAGAAUGAAGAAUUUAAAAAGUGUGAAUCAUAUCUUUAAUUAUUAGAUACUAAUUGUUAAAGGAUGAUUUGCAGUUAGGAUAGGAAUAUACCUAAAAACCCCACUUGAUUAAUGAAAUGGGAAGAUAACUUAAUGCAUUCAAAUUAAAAACUCACAUACCCUGUCAAUGAUGUAGUUGUGAUAUUAGUUUCGGUAUGUGAAUUAUAUAAUGAGCAUUCCCAAGUUAUAAUAUCAAUUUCAUAGCUCAACAAUCACAACAAACACAAACAACGACUAUAAAUCAAAGUUAUGCGUGAAUGUGAAGUAAAUGCCUCAACUCUUGAAUUCACCAUAUAUUGUUUACAAUCCAAGUUUCAUAUCAUUGUUAUUUUGAUUAUUUAGGUUAUAAAUUCAAAACUCAAAGCUCUUGUUGGUUACAAAUUUCAUUUGUUAAACUUCAAUAGUAACGCUUAUGUUGGAUAGUUUGCUUAAAAAAGUCUCCAUGGGAUCGAUAACCCGCUCGAAAAAGUCAUUUUACUACUUAUUUGAUCAUAAUAAACUUGCGUGUGCACUUGUCAAUUGCUAGCGUCUUGAAAAUUAGAAACUUUUGAUUUGUUGUUUUGCUAUUCUAUUUUACAUGUGCUGGCAACUUGAUCUUAGAUACUGAGCUUGCAAUUACAAUUUUGAAUCUCUAGUAAGUUGGCAAGGGAAAAAGGUUUGGUUGAACCAUAUCCCAAAUCGGAUGGAUGCUUACACCAAUUGAGAAAAGAAGCAACAAUUCUCUAUCCCAUCAUGCAAGUUCAACUGGGUGAGCCAUUUCUGCAGUUGUGGGUGAUGGACAACCAAACCGCAGGACAACGCACGAUGUGGUAAUCCCACUCACAACUAAUGCUACCUCCAGCAUUUGGAAAGUUAAUCCUGGGGGUAGAUUUUAGCUGAAGUAAAACAUGGUGCAAUUGUUGCAUAAUAACGAGUAGUUCAUAGGCUGGUUACAUGAGGAUCCACAGGUCCACUUACAAAAUUUCUUAGAGAUCAGUGACACUUUCAUUUCUAUUGGAGUCUCCACAGAGUAGGCGAGGGUCACUCUCUUCCCCUUCUACUAUUGAAGGAGAUGAAGAAAUAGUUGAAUGAAGAACCUUCAAACUUAAUCAUAACUUGGGAUGACUUGUCAAAGAAGUUUCUCAUAUGAUUCUUUCCUUCUGGAAAAAUUGCUAGGUUGAGGAGUGAGAUUCUGACUUUCAAACAAAAGCCAGAUGAGAAUCUCUAUCAUGCAUGGGAGAGAUUCAACUCUCUUAUUAGGGAUUUUUUGCAUCACCAACAAACUAAUGAGGUAUUAGAACAUACUUUUGUUGAAGGUCUUGACUAUGACACAAAAAAUUCUGCUAGAUUUAGCUGCAGAUGGACAUACUUAGGAGAAAACUUAUGACGAGCUAGAUACUCUUCUGAAUUGAAUUGCAUAAGAUAAUCUUGAAUGUCAAGGUGAUAUAUACAAAAGAAUGGUAAAGAAUCCUAGAAGUAUAAUCAAGGUGGAGUGUCAUAACAUUGGCUGGUCAGUUGGCAUCUUUUCAGAACCAAAUGAUGAUGCAGUUCAGUAAAUUGAGUGUGAAUCAACCUCAAGCCCAAGUUAAAGCAAUCCAAAAAGGUCAGAAUUUGUGUGAAAUUUUUGGAGAUUGAGGUCACUCUGUAGACUUAUGUGGAGCAAAUCCAGAGUCAGUGAAUUUCAUAGGCAAUGCACAAAAGGGGAACCAAAUAUGGUAAUGCCUACAACCGCAAUUGACAGAGUCAUCCCAAUUACUCAUGGAGCAAUAAUCAGGCUCAACCUUAGCAGUUUUAGCAGCAACAGGGAAUUAAGAAUGGCAUUAAGGCUAGUAAUAUAGAAGAUACUUUGAAAAGAUCCUAACCAAUCAACAAAAAAUGGUUACGGAUAUUAAAACUCAAAAACUGGCUAAGAAAAAUUUGGAGAUACAGUUGGGACAUUUAGCUUAGGCAUAGAACACAAGACCUCAAAGGGUUUACCUAGUGUGAUACAAAAAAUCCAAAGUAAGUGAUGGUGAUCACCUUGAACAGUGGUCGCAACUCGAUUGGCAGACCUCCAAAGAAAAAUCAUAAAGGCGCAGGUAGAGUUGGUCCCACAGCAAGCUGAUGAGAAGCAAGUGGAAGCCAAAGAAGCUAAAAAUUUAGGGACGUUUGUAUACCUAAAAGAAGAGGCAGUUGAGCAAACACCAGAGAGGCUACCACCACCAUUCCCUCAGAAGCUAAAAAAGACUAAAGAGGAUGCUUAUUAUUAGAAGUUCUUUAACAUGUUCAGAGAACUUCACAUUAACCUUCCUUUGUUAGACAUUUUGUAGAAAAGGCCUAAGUAAGCUAAGUACUUAAGGGAUGUGGUGACGAAUAAGAGAAAGCUGGGUUACAUUGAGACAGUAGCACUUACUGGAGAGUGUAGUCUGUGGUGAUGAGAAAGAUUUCCAAAAAGCUCAAGGACCCUGGGAGCUUCACCCUUCCUAUACAAAUAGGUGAAAGUGAUAUGGUCUAUGCUUUGGGUGAUUUGGGGGGAAGCAUAAAUUUGAUGCCUUUAUAUGUGUUUAAUACUCUGAUUUUAGAAAAAUCAAGGCUGUAUUUAGUGGUGCUCCAAAUGGCUGACAAAACUGGAGUGGCCCCCAAAGAAAGCAUAUAGGAUAUUCUCAUCAAUAUUGGUAAUUUCAUUAUUCCUACUGACUUUAUUAUUAUUGAUUAUGAUAUAGAUGACAAAGUGCCAAUCAUAUUGAGAUAUUUAUUCUUAGAUACUAGAGGAGUACUGAUAGAUGUGAGAGAGGGCAUUCUUACAAUGAGAUUGAAUGAUGAAUAAGUGGUAUUUAGAGUGUACAAAGAACUCAAUACUUGUGCAUGAUCACCAUAUUUGAGAACUCUUUGUAAACUUUGAAGACCAACACAAUUGAGAGUGUACAAUUGAAUUACACAAGGUAAUCCUGAAUGCUUGGGUGAUGUAUUCCAAAUGAUGGUCUUCAGAGUGUACAAAGAGUUUUGAAUUAUGGUUAUCAUGCAUAAAUCUUUGUAGUGUGAGGGUGUAUUGAGUGCUUUUUACAUUGAAAAAGUGACCUCUUCAUCAUUCAAUCUCAUCGUAAGAGUGUCCUUUCUCAUAUCUAUUAGUACUUCUCUAGUAGCCAUAAAUAGACGUCCAAAUAUGAUUAAAACCUUAUCAUCUGCAUCAUAAUCAAGAAUAAUAAUGUUAUGAAUAAUAAUGAACUUAUUAGCCUUGAUGAGAACAUCCUCUAUGAUUCCUUCAGGGACAACUCUAGUUCUAUCCAUCAUUUGGAUCACCAUUGAACAUGGCCUUGAUUUUCCUAAUCCUAGAGUGUUAAACACAAAUAGGGGCAUCAAAUUUAUGCUUGGACCCAAAUCAUUCAAAUCAUAGACUUUAUAACUUUCACCAAUUUGUAUAAAGAGGGUGAAGCUCCCAGGGUCCUUGAGAUUUUUGGGUAUAUUUCUCAUAACCAUAAAACUGCACUCCUCAGUAAGUUCUACCAUCUCAAUGUCAUCUAACUUUGUCUUAUUAGUCAUCACAUCCUUCAAAUACUUAGCGUACUUAGGUGUUCCCUACAAAACAUCUAACAAAGGAAGGUUAAUGUGAAGUUCUCUAAACUUAUGGUGGUGAUCUCUCUAGUGUUUUCUCAACUUCCUUUGCUUUUGAGUACUCAGACUUUUCUAAAUUUUUAGCUUCUUUGGCUACCACUUUCUUCUCAGUAGCUUACUGUAGGACUAACUCUGCCUGUACCUCAUAAUUUUUUGUUGGAGGUUUGUCAAUCAGGUUGCUAUAACUUCUCAAGGUGAUUUCCAUCACUUGCUUUUAAUUUUCUACAUCACUAGGUAAACCCUCUAAGGUCUUGUGUUCUGUGCCUGAGCUAACUGCCCCAACUGUGUUUCCAAAUUUUUCUGAGCCAAUUUUUGAUUUUUAAUGUCUGCAGCCAUUUGUUCUUAGUUGGGUAGGACCUUUUUCAAAGUCUUUUCUAUAUUAAUUGCCCGAGUGCCAUUCUGAAUUCUCUGUUGCUAUUAGAACUGUUGAGGUUAAGCCUGAUGAUUUCCCUAUGAGUAAUUGAGAUAAAUUUUCCAAUUGUAGUAUAGGCAUUACCAUAAUUCCGAUUCCCCAUUUGUGCAUUGACAAUGAAACUCAUUGACUUCGGAUUUGCUCCACAUAAGUCAGAUUUCUCAUUUGUGCAUUGGCAAUAGAACUCAUUGACUCCAAAUUUGAUCCACAUAAGUCUGCAGAGUGACCACCAUCUCCACAAAUUUCACACAAAGUAUAACCUUGCUUGAUUACAAUAACUUGGUCUUGAGGUUGAUUCACUCUCAAUUUAUUGAACUGUAUCAUUAGUUAGUUCAAAAAUGUGGCAACUGACCAGUUAAUGAUGUGACACUAUCCAUCUUGAUUAUACUUGCAGGCUUCAUUACAACACUUCUAGAUAUAUCAGCCUGCCAUUCAGUGUUACCUUGUGAAUUUUAAUUCAGAAGAGUAUAUAGCUCAUCAUAAAUUUUCUCCAAUGUGAACCUGCAGCUGCAUCAAGCAGAAUUUUUAUGUUAUGGUCAAGGCUUUCAAUAAAAUUAUGACCUAAUACCUCAUUGGUUUAUUUGGUGAUGCGAACAAUCCCUAAGAAGAGGCUUGAAUGUCUUCCAUGCAUUAUAGAGAUUCUCAUAUGGCUUUUUUUUGAAACUCAUCAUCUCGUUACUCAACUUUGAAGUUUUGCCAAAAGGAAAGAAUUGGAUAAGAAACUUUUUUGGCAAAUUAUCCCAAGUUGUGAUUGAGAUUGAAGGUUCUGCCUUCAACUAUUUUUUUGCCUUCCCCAAUAGUAAGAAGUGAAAGAGAGUGAGCCUCAUAUAAUCUGUGGAGACUCCAACAAAAAUGAAAGUGUUACUAAUCUCCAAUAAAUUCUGUAAGUGUACUUAUGGAUCCUCAUGUCACAAGCUUGUGAACUGCCCCCUGCUGUGCAAUAAUUGUGCCAUGUUUUGCUUAAGCUUAAAUCCACCCUAGGCUUUUGUCUAUGAAUGCUGGAGGUAACAUUAGUUACGAGUGGGAAUGCCACCUCACACACUAUCCAGCAGGCUGGUUGUUCAUCACCCAUGACUAUAGGAAUGAAUUCGCCCUGUUGAAUUUGCAGGAUGGGAUAGAGAAGUGUUACUUAUCUCCUCAAUUGGUGUAAGUAUCUCUCCAUUUUAGAAUAUGGUUCAACUAAAUCCCUUUCCUUUUUCAGCUUACUAGAGAUUCAAAAAUGUACCUUCAAGUUCAAUAGCUAAGACCAAGUUGUAAAAACUUAUAAAAUAGAAUAACAAAACCACAGAUCAAAUGGUAGCUAAUUUUCAAGUCCUCGAAAAUGGUACCAAAAAGUAAUUGCACCCAAGAGCACAUGCAAGUGUACGUGUUAAAACGAGUAGUAAAUUUACUCUUGCAAGCCCGUGAUCAAUCUCACAGGGACUUGUUCUUUUAGCAAACUAUCUAUUAUAAGCGUAACUAUUAAAAUUUAACAAAUGUAAUUUGUAACCAAUAAGAGUUUUGAGUUUUAAAGUUAUAACCUAAAUAAUCAAAAUAAUAAUCAUAUGAAACUUGGAUUAUAAAUAAUAGAUGGAGAAUUUCAGGGUUGAGGCAUUUACUUCACAUUCAUGCAUAACUAUGAUUUAUAGAUACUAUUUGUGUUUAUCAUGAUUGUUGAGCUACAGGGUUGAUAUUAUAACUUGGAAUUGGUCAUGAUCUAAGUAAUAUACCCAAAUUAAUCUCACAACAACAUCUUUUAGCGGAAAUAUAAGUUUUUAAUUGAGAUGCAUUAAGCUAUCUUCCCAUUUCAUUAACCAAGUGGGGCAUUUUUGGUUUAUCCUCUUCCUAACCGCAAAUCAUCCUUUAACAAUUGGUAUCUAAAAAUUAAAGAUAUGAUCCACACUUACUAAAUUCUUCAUUCUAUCUCUCUGAUCUUAUGGUCAAUUUAUUUGAGACUUAGAUUUAUCUUAAAGUUCAUGGCGCUUUAGAAUAUUAUAACAAGAAUGUAAGAAUAAUUACAUGACUUGACAACCAUAUAAGCCAACUAUAAAAUCAUAAUUACACAAUCAUAUGGUAGCCUCAACCCUAUAAUGGAGGUUCUUAUCUAAUCCCUAUCUUACAAAGAAUAACCAUAAUUGAAUUCAUAGGUAAAAACCGCAAGAAAACUAAAGUAAAGAUGCAAAACCCUAGUGUAGAGCCCCUUUAAUGCCUUCUCUUUCCUCUAAUCUUAUGUUUUUCCAAAAGUGUUGUGCAAUGAUGAAAAUUACUCCUUAUAUAGUGUUUUAUAUCACUCAUAUUCUUCCCCAUAUGAAACAUAUGCAUUUAUAAUAUUUCCCCAAUCUUAAAGAAAUAGAAAAUCAACUUUUGAACGUCUGAAAAGGAGGGGAGGAAGGGGCGUUGCACCAUAGGCCAAUUGCAUAACCUACGGGGUGUAGAGAAUACCCAUAGAAUGGAUGAGGGAGUUUUCUAUAACCCUAUUAGGUUUGGUGUAAGUCCCAUUCCAUGCCUUGGGGGUACGACGUAAGGCCCCUCCUCAAGGGUAAAGAUUCACUCUCGUUUUGCUCCUAUCUUGUCGUACGUUUAAUCCUCAUUGAUCCACUUCUUGUGACUUGUGUUUAGGAUUAAGUUAUCUUCUAUAAAACCUCCAAUAGUCUUAUAAAAUAUCAUAUAACAAUCAUUAGUUCACAUAAUACAAUAGAGCUCAUCAAAGUACACUAGAACAAGCAUAGAUCAAGCUAGCACCACUAGUUUUUUUGUCUAAACUCUAUUUGAUCAUUUUGACUCUUAACUUGUUUCAAAUUCACCAAAAACAUUCUAAAUAUGUAAAUUAACAUAUAACACAUAAUUACACCUUAAUACAUCAUUAAGUACUAAAAUUCAAGAGGGGGUGAAUUGAAAUUUUUCUGUAAGUUGACUACUGACUCCUCACAGUCAACUUACCUGCAGAUCAGUGUACUUUAUAAACAAAUUAGAUUUAAAACAAUUAAAAAAGUAAAUAAUAUAACAUAAAGUAAUAACAGAAGGAUUUAUCCUUGUUCGGAACACCAAUGUGGUGCCUACUUCCAAUACCUUGGGUUCAAAUUUUCCUAGAUCGUUGAAUGUUAUGCUUGAGUAAAAUUAUAGGAAACAAAUUCUGAAGACUUAUUUUCUCUUCAGGUAUUGUGACACAGCAUCAUUUGAUGUUACAAAGUUGACUCGAUCUUACUCUUUAUAUAACAAUUGUAAACAAAAAGUUACAAAGCCUUGUGAGGCUAAAAUUGAGAUACUUUGAAUUCUUUACUUGAAGUUGAGUAAAAAGUCUCUGUCUUCAGUCUUCAUCUUUUAUAGUCUCAACUGCUACUCUUCAUAAGGAAACCCAAGAGGUUUCUUCUCAAUCAAGGAUGUAAAUUGAUUCCUUGAUUGAGGAAUGUAGCCGUAUGAUAUGUCCAUAUCAGAUAUAUCCAUAUACAACUUUGGACCAAGUCCCUAUCAGAUAUAUCCGUGAUCUAUUUUUCUUUUUAGUCUUAUAGAGAUUGAUGCCUUUCCAAAUAUGCUCGUGAUCUUCUCUUCCUUUUCUUGAUCUAAUUUAUUGAAUCUUAUCUUGAUUGAUUUGGUCUUCCAUGAUUAUAGGAUUAUGAUCCUUCUUCAAUUCCUAUGAUAUUUGAUUGAUCUGCUUGCCAUACUGUUUGAAUGCCGUGAUCUUCCAUAUCUUCGGGUGAGAUACUCUUAUAUCUUCCAAUAUCUUGAUUCAAUUUUCUGUGACAUUUGGAGUUGAGAUUCUCCUUCCAUUUGUUCUCAUUUGUGAUUGAAUUACUUGGAUACCAUGGAUGUCCUUCCAUUCCUAAUGUCCCUGAAUUCGACUUCCCUUAUCCUUCCAAUAUUAGCAGUCUUCAAUGUCCUGCAAAGAUACACUUGUUAGUUUGUCAUUAUUAAAAUAUAGAGGCUAACAAUCUCCCCCUUUUUAAUAAUGAAAACAAGAAUAAACAUCAGUUGACAUCCUUGUCUGACGGCUUGCUCCCCUAACUUGUACAAGUAUGUAAACAUUAAUUGACUUGCUCUUCUCUGCUCUUCUUGGCUGGUAGGCUACUAUGAUAUUCUUGCUUUCUCCUCCUUUAACAUAAUAAAAAAGAAACAACACGCAGGCAGUGUGCAGACAAGGAAGUUCACAUAUAUCCAAAAUAAAACUUAAAGAUCAUUAAUGCUAAGAAUACCAAGCCUAUAUAGAAAGGAAUAAAAUCUUUCCUCUAGCAGGGCUUUUGUAAAAAUAUCUGCUACUUAAUUUUCAGAGUCAAUGAAUUUUAAAGUAAAGUCAUGGUUCUCUACAUGAUCUCUAAUAAAUGAUACUUAAUAUCAAUAUGUUUAUCCCUAUAGUGAUGCACAGUAUACUUAGAUAAGCUAAUAGCACUAGUGUUAUCACACAUAAUAGGAACAAAUUCAAAAAAUAAGUCAAAGUCAAGAAGCUGACGCAUAAUCCAUAAGAUUUGAGUACCACAACUUCCGACAACUAUGUAUUCAGCUUUAGCGGUUAAAAGAGCAACGGAAGUUUACUUUUUGCUAUGCCAUGAGAUAAGAGCAUCACCAAUAAUUUGACAUAUUCCACUAGUUCUCUUUCUAUCAUUUUUGUCUCCUGCAAAAUAAAUAUCUGAAUAACUAAUUAAAUCAAAGUAUGAGGAGCAAGGAUACCAUAGUCCAAAGUCUUGAGUUCCUAUUAGAUAUCAAAUAACUCACUUGACUCCUUAGGAGUGGACUGGAAUCUAGCAUAUUUACACACACUGAACAUAAUAUCUGAUCGACUUAAAGUUAAGUAGAGUAGAGAUCCGCUCAUCCCUCGGUACAUUUUUUUAUCAACUUCUUUUCUAAACAAGUCUGAAUCAAUGCUUGUGGAUGAGCUCAUUGGUGUUCCACAGGCCUUUUCUUUUUCAAUACCAAAAUUUUUGAUGAGUUCUUUCGUGUACUUGUCUUGACUGAUGAAAGUGCCUUUGGAAUUUUGUUUGAUUUGUGAUCCUAGAAAGAACUUGAGCUCGCCCAUAAGACUUAUUUCGAAUUCUUCUUUCAUCAAAUUAGCAAAAUUCUUGCACAUAGAGAUGUUAGAACUACCAAAGAUGAUAUCAUCAAUGUAAAUUUGCAUAAUUAGGAGAUUUGAAUCAAGCUUUUGUAUGAAUAGGGUUGUGUUAAUUUUACCCCUUUGAAAAUUAUUAUUUAGUAAAAAAGUACUCUCUCUCAUACCAAGCUUUUAGAGCUUGUUUGAGACGUAGAGUGCUUUUGAUAAUUUAAAAAAAUGAUUUGGAUAUGAAUGAUCUUCAAAUCCAGGGGGUUGUUUUACAAAAACUUCCUUAUGAAUAAAUCCAUUUAAGAAAGCACCUUUUAGGUCCAUCUGAUAUAACUUAAAAUAUUUGAACACGACAAAAAAUGAUAAAAUUUGUAUUGACUCUAACCCUGCUAUGGGGGCAAAGGUCUCGUCAUAAUCAAUACCUUCCUGUUGGGAGUAGCCUUGAGCUACAAAUCUGGCUUUAUUUCUGAUAACUUUACCCUCUUCAUUUAAUUUAUUCCUGUAGACCCAUCUGGUUCCAAUUACUGAAUAGUUUCUAGUUCUUUCAACUAGAGUCCAGACUUGAUUUCAUUCAAAUUGAUCCAGUUCUUCCUUCAUAGCUUCAACCCAUGAUUUAUCGUUGAGAGCUUCAUCAGUUUUCUUUGGUUCAAUUUGGGACAUAAGGGCAACAUAUGCUUGUCUCCUCAAUGAUGCUCUGAGUUGCACUCUAUCUUCUAGAUUUCUGAUGAUGAGUUCAUUUGGAUGGAUAGAACCAUACUUCCAUUCUUUUGGAACACUCAGUUUCAUUGUUUAUGUUGUGGGAGUCGACUCUGUUGGGGGUAUAGUCGACUUAUCUUGUGGAGGUUCUGAGGUUGUGUUAAGAUUUUUUCUAGUUUAUAGAUUACUCACCCAUUCUUCAUCAGUAUUUAAACUCAUAGAGAGAUGAUUAGCUUCAUCAAAAAAAAUAUGCAUAGAUUCCUCAACACACAAGGUUCUUUUAUUAAAAUCUCUUGAAGCAUGACUAGUGGGAGAGUACCCAAGGAAGAUACCUUUGUCACUUUAUGGAUCGAAUUUUCCUAAGGUAUUCUUACCAUUGUUGUGAAUAAAAUAUUAUCAGCCAAAGGGAUGGAAAUAGCCAAUGUUGGGCUUCUUUCCCCUCCAGAGUACAUAAGGCAUUUUCUUUAGAAUAAGUUUGAUCAGGCCCCUAUUGAUGAUGUGACAUGCUGUACUAACUGCUUCUUCCCAAAAGUGAUCUGGGAGAUUAUGUUCCAACAACAUUGUCCUGGCAAUUUCCUGGAGGGACCAAUUUUUUUGCUCCACUGCAUCAUUUUGUUAAGGAGACCGCAGUGAAGAGAAGUUCUAAAAGUAUACAUUUUGAGCACAAUACUCCUCAAAUGCCUUAUUUUUAAAUUCUCCUCCAUGAUCACUGUGGACAUAUGUGAUGAGGUGUCCAGCUUCUCUCUGUACCUUUCUACAAAAAAAUCUCAAAAUUUGUGAAAGCCUCAUGUUUAUGUGCAAGAAACAUUACCCAAGUAAAUCGUGAGUAAUCAUCCACUAUGACAAAAAUAUAUCUCUUUCCACAAAUGCUUGCGGUCUUGGUGGGACCAAACAUAUCCAUGUGGAUUAUUUAAAGAGGUUUGGUAGUAGAGACUAUGUCUUUGACUUUAAAAGAUGUUUGAGUCUGUUUACCCAAUUGGCAGGCAUCACAGAUAUGAUGCUUUUCAAAGUUGAGUUUUGGAAAACCUUUCACCAAAUCAAAUCUAGACAAUUUCUCAAUGAUAUGCAUGCUAGCAUGCCUAAGAUGUUGUGCCACAACCAAGUUCAUUGGUUUGUACAGUGAGACAGGUUAAGGUAGCAAAAUCAGGACUAUUUAAGACGUAAAUGUUAUCAACAUAUUCACUGAUAAGAGAGAUGUUUCUUUUUUUGUGCUUGAUUGAUCAAUUUUUGGCCUUGAAGAGUACUUCAAAUCCGGUAUCACAGAGCUGACUGAUGCUGAGCAGAUUGUGUUUGAGGCUGUCUACCAGAUUUACUUUUGUGAAUUCACAUGAUGAUUUGAGUUUUACUGGGCUAACUCUGAUGGCAUUGCCUAUAGCACUGUCACCAAACGUUAUCGAUCCCUCAUCUAUUUUAUCUAGAGCAAAAAAUUUUUAUUUCUUUCUGGUCAUGUAUUUGGAACAUCCACUAUCAAUGACCCACAUUUCAUUCUUAUAGCUCUUGCGAAUCUGUUCUUGCAACACAAAAAGUUCAGUUUUGUUUAGGUACCCAAGUGGUCAUGGGUCCUUGGGGGUUAGAUGUGCUUCCUUUGGACCUCUAAACCCAUACAAUUUUAGGUUUAUGCUUGGAGUUGUAUGAUUUGUGCCCUCUCUUUCCACAUAUAAAACAUAUAUGUCCUUGAGAAGAAAAGGUGAUCUUAGCAGAUUUAAAUAAUUUCGAUGAGGAGCUAGAUUUGUUUUGAAAAGAGUUAGAUUUUGCAAAACUGUGACUGGGAGAUUUAUUAAUACUUUUUAGCUUUAUUUUUAUAUCAUUAAUCUUUUCAUGAAGCAGAUUAGUUUUAAUUUGACAUGCUUUGAUUUCUAUUUGAUGACCUCUCUGUUUCUCCUCAAGUUUUCAUUUAAAUUGGGCUUCACAACUUUUCUUUUCUUAAGGAAGUUUGUUAUAUUCAUUUAUGACCUUUUGAAGUUCGUUGGUUAUCAAAUUUAAGUUAGAUUCAAGAAUAUUACAGUUGUGACAAUCAUGUGUUCUUACCUCGAUGGAUUCACCAGUUGCUAUAAAGCAUAUAUUGGUGGCUCUACUUCUUCUUCAGUUUCAUCUUCAUCACUCCAGGUUCCAAAGUUCUAAUUUUUUCUGGACGAUCUUCUCCUUAAUCCGAGAUAGUUUUGUUUAAAGUGACUAGAUCUUCAACAAUAAUAAAAACGAUCAUCGGUUCUGGUGGAAUUAUUAUUCUUGGCUCUUUAGGAUCUCUACUGUCUCUGUCUCAUGAUUUGACUUACCCACGAUUUAUGAGAGCCAUUCCUUCACUAUUGCCAUCUUCAAGAAUGUCCACUUCUUCGGUUAGAGCAACAUUGAAUGCUACUAGUUUCUUUUUCUCUUUCUUGUGGUACCUGUUAAUAUAAUUUUUCUCAUAUGCAAUAAGGUUACCUCGUAGUUUAUUGUAUGUUAUGUUGUGAAGAUCUCCAUCUUCCAGAAUGCGAGCCUUUAUUUCCCAAAUCUUUGGGAGACUUCAGACCAGCUUCUGGACUUGUAGACUCUGUGGAUAGAUCAUCCCUGGUUAUUUAAGUUCGCAUAAGAUCUUGCUGAAUUUGGCAAACAUUGCUUCAAUGUCCUCAUUCUCUUCCAUUUUGAAUAGCUCAUAUUCAUUGACCAGGGUAACAAUUUUUGACUUCUUGACUUUGGUGGUUACCUCAUAGGUUACCUCCAAUUUGUCCCACAUUUCUUUUGCUGUUUUACAAGUUGAUAUCUUCUUGUAUUUUUCUCCACUAACUGCAUACAAAAGUAAACUUAUAACACAUGCAUUAGUUUGGAUUACCUCUUGUUGUUCUUUCGUGAACUCAAAGUGAUACAACCCUAAAAGGCCUAUGUCGUAUGGGCACCUCAAGCCCACAUAAACCGGAGGUUGCCCGAUAACCCAUCAUAAUCAUCACAUCAAACACAAGGGCCAGGUAACUCCCGACCACAUAAUAAGAUGACAAAAAUAAUACUAGAAGUCGUAAUUUAAACAAGUCUAAACAUUUCAUUAGAUUCAUCAAUAUAACCAUUACACCCAAGUCCACAGUUAUCCACAAUACCUCUAUGAAAACCAAUGUUUAUAAAUAGAUAUGUUGGUACAAGCCACUGACAAUAGACAAACCAAGUCAAUGAGACAAAGUCUAAGGAUAGGGGGACCAAGAAUGGAUGUCUUCCAAAAUAAUAAAGCUCACCACUCUGAGGUCAAUGUACGAACCGCUUCGAUCACCUAAUCACUAUGCAAGAAGAGAAGAUGAUGCUCCGCCCCCUAUGUCACAUGGGACAUAGCAUCCAAAGAUAGGUAGCGGUUGGAACGCUAGCAUGGAACUCAAGUAUAAGGAUAUAAUAGCAUUAACAUUUAACAACAAGUCAAUAUACCAUAUUCAAUCAUAUUCAUACAUGUAUCCUUACAUAUGGGUAUGUCACAUGCUAAUCAAGAAAUCAAGGCUUAACAAUAUUAUAGAACAUUCAUUCAUUAGACAUGAAGUGGAGGAUUCCAUUUAGGUAUAGGACUUUAACUCCAAUCACAUACCAUUAGAUGUUCACACAUUCUUUAGCCAAGGACUUUAACCACAUACACAAUCAUUCAAACAAGGGACUCUAACCACACAUAUUCAUCUAGGAAAGGGACUCCAACCUCAUGCCCAUUCAUUAGAAAAGGGACUCUAACCUCAUGCCAAGGGACUCUAGCCGCAAGCUGUUUCAUUCAAUGAGGUGCAUUAACCUCAAGAGAUUUCUUUAAGUAAGGGACUUUAAACUCGAGCAAUUUCAUUAGGCAAGGGACUCCAACCUCAAGCCAUUCCAUAAGGCAAGGGAGUUCAACCUCAAGCCAUUCUAUAAGGCAAGGGACUUCAACCUCAAGCCAUCACAACUAUCAAUAGUUGACAUUGGGACUUUAACCCUUUGCCCAUGCAUCAACAUUCAUUCCAUACAACACUUAAGGACUUUAACUAUUUAACUAAUUCAACACUAUACAUGACCCCAUGGUCCUUAUGGGAGCCUUCAUUGCUCAACCAUUUCAAUAGACCAUUGCCUUCAUUCAAUCCAUCAUACAAUAAAAGUUAUGGUCAUAAAGAUCCUCUCAACUAUUCAUAUUUAAUUAACCAUCUUAUACCACAUUCUCACCACACUUGGUUCAACACACAAUUCAAAUACAUUAUCAUGUUUAGGGACUUCAACCCCUUAUUAGUCAAUUAACCCAACAUAGUCAUAAAUUAUACAAUACAUAGCUCACAAUACUUUUAACAUGCCAUUUAUCAAUUAUUCAUGCUUAUUGGGCUAUUGCGCUAGUUCAAAGCAUCACCAAUAUGUGACUAGACAAUUCACUUAGAUAUUUCCACAAAUACCUUAUGUGCCUACCUUUAACAAGGCUAUUUUCACGGUAAAAAUCAUUAAGGUUAGGGUUACUCAAGACCCUCAUGUUAAAACUCACACAACAAGCACCUACAUAUGCAAAUCAUCAUCAUUAACAUGUAUAAACAUAAGUGUAAACAAGAGUAACAUUAUUCAUCAUCAGGCAACAAAACCCUUUUCAUUUGAUUUCAAAAUCUCCAUGUACACUUACUAAUCCAAGUGUAAAAUACAUGGGCUUAGAGUUAUUUAACAAAGGGUAAUAGGUACAUGCCUUAAACAAGGUGAUUCAUCAAGAAACUUGACUUCACUUUGCCUCUAGAAGAUCACCCUUGAAACCCCUAGUCUCCAAUUCUUCAAAGAUGAGUUUGAGAGUCUAUUUUGGGUGUUUGAUCCCUAAAAAAUGUGUUUAAGGAGGCCUUAUACACUUACAUAGUGAAGGGACGUAGGGUUUAAGGCAUGGGAAAUUACCACAAGGACCUUAGUUAAAAGAUGUAAAGUAAACCCGUGUAGGGGUAUGACUCAUCUUAUGAACUGUACCCUAGGGUAUAAGUGGUACCUUGACUCGUACCCUAGGCUUCUACUAGGUCACCUACACAAUUAAGGAUAUGGUCACACACCCUUGAGACAUAUCCAAAGGGUACAACUAUAUCCCUACGUUAUAAACACCCCCCAUACCUAAACUAGUCCACAUAAGCUAGGACUUCCCUCUAUACGAUCAUAUUGGGUACGAAUCAUAUACUUAGGGUAUGAUUGAGGAGGGCUGUCACUCCUACCUAGGACAAUGAGUAACCCUCACCACACUACCUAGGACACGAGAGGGGAGGGGAAGAAGGAUACGACUUAUAUCUAAGGGGUAUGACUCAUGCCCCUAGUUGUACCCACCCCAGUGUCAUUAAAUAGAGAGUUCUUUCAAUGGUUUAAAGUCUAAGUGUUUCAGUUCUCACCCACUUGGAUCAUUGGUCCACGAAUGACGGAUAGGGCAAGCAAAAAACAUAAGUUAACACAUUAUGAUAUAUAAAAAACAAGUUAGAACAAACAUACAACAAGGAUAUAACACACAUCAUGCUCAUUAUCAAUCAAUCAUUCACUUUAUCGUCUUUGGGACUCAAACCCAUUAUUUAUAAAGACACUUGUUCAUUGCAAAGCAUAGGGACUUAAACCCUUACUUAUCAACAUUUUACUCAUCUCACAACUUAGGGACUUCAACCCAUUGACUUAUCAAGGAUACUUGCUCAAUUCAAGGAUUAGGGACUUGAACCCUUCAUUUACCAAAGACAUAAAUCAACUCAAGAUACUAGGGACUUAAACCCAUCACAAAAAGGACACAUAUAGCUUCAAAGCAUUAGGAACUUGAAUCCAUGGUCUAACAAGACACAAAUCAACUUAACACAUUGGGUACUUUAACCCAUUAUCUAUCAAAGACAUACAUCAAAGCAAGGAUAUCAACACAUACUUCCAUCCUAUGUUUUCAGAAUAGGAAACAAAUAUGGAUACUUGGACUUCAUAUCCUCUUCCACUUCCCACGUAGCUUUCUCGGACUUUUGUUUUCUCCAUAGAACCUUCACCGAAGCCACAUCUUUUAUUUAUAACCAAUGAACUUGCCAAUCUAAGAUCCUCACUGGGAUAUCCUCAUAGGACCAAGAGUCUGAGAUAUCAACAUACCUCAAGGGAAUAACCAACGAUGGAUCACACACACAUUUCUGCAACAUAGAGACAUGGAAAAUCGGGUGAAUGAAGUUCAUACUGGAAGGAAACUCCAAAUCAUAGGCAACAUUGCCAACCCUUUUUACAAUCAAGUAAGGACCAACAUACUGGGGACUAAGCUUUCCCUUCUUACCAAAUCACACUCCCUUCAUGGGAGACACUUUCAAGAAUAUCCAAUCGCCAACACUAAACUCUAAGCCCCUACGCCUCACAUCUGCAUAGGAAUUUUGGCGACUUUGAGUAGUUUUCAAACUAUCACGAAUCAGCUUCAUCUUUUCUAAGGCUUGGUGAACUAAAUCGGAGCCAAGCAUCUUACCCUCACCAACUUCGUACCACCCAAUAAGAGAUCGACAUCUCUUACCAUACAAUGCCUUAAAAGGGACCAUUCCAAUACCAGAGUGGUAAUUAUUAUUAUAGGUGAACUCAAUCAAAGAAAAGUGGUCAUACGAACUACCACCAUAAUAAAUCACACAAGCCCUCAACAUACUCCCCAAUAUUUGGAUGGUCCUUUCCACUUUCCUAUACAUUUGGAAGUGGAAAGCGGUACUAAGGCAUACUCUAGUACCCAAACCCUUUUGGAAUGACUUUCAAAUAUGGGAUGAAAAUGGAGGACUACAAUUCGAGAUAAUAAAAGUUGUAGCACCUUGCAACUUCAUGAUCUCCACAAGAUACAACUUAGCAUAAUCUUCCACCGAGUAAUUUUUCCUUACGGUAAAAAGUGAGCGGACUUGGUCAUUUUAUCAAUAAUGACCCAAAUAGAAUCAAAUUGAUUCUGAGAUUUAGGAAUACCGGUAACAAAAUCAAUACUAAUUGCCUCCCACUUCCAUUUGGGAAACACAAUUUCUUGGUACAACCACUGGGCCUCAUAUGCUCAGCUUUCACUUGUGACACACCAUACACUUGAACACAUAGCUAGCCACAUCACGUUUCAUAUUUCUCUACCAAUAGAACUCUCUAAGGUCAUGAAACAUCUUUAUGGAAUCGAGAUGUAUAGCAUACCGAGAUUCAUGAGCCUUGACCAUCACCCUUUUCCUCAAUCCAUCGACGUCAGGAACACAUAAUCUAUCUCGGUAUCUCAAGAUACCAUUACCACCAAUCACAAAGUCCGCAACUUUGUGUUGACCCACAUUAUUCUUGAUCUUCAUCAAGUUCGGGUCCAAAACUUGCUUUUCUUUUAUCUCAACAACAAGAUACGACUGAGAUACCAAAAGAACAAAUACACAACCAUCCCCAAAGUCUGCAAGUUGAACUCCAAGAUUAGCCAAACAGUGAAUAUCCUUCACCAAUUCCUACUUAUCCUUAUCUACAUGGGCCAAAAUUCUCAUAGACAAUCUACUAAGAGCAUUGACGACUACAUUUGCCUUAUUGGGAUGGUAAUGAAGACUCAUAUCAUAGUCUUUUAAUAACUCGAGCUACUUUCUUUGCCAGAGAUUUAACUUCUUUUGGGUAAACACAUAUUAGAGACUCUUAUGAUCUGUAAAGAUAUCGACAUGAACCCCAUAAAAAUAAUGCAUCCAAAUUUUUAACGCAAAAAUCAUGGCUAAAAACUCUUGAACAUGAGUAGGGUAGUUCUUAUCAUGAACUUUUAAUUGCCUAGAAGCAUAGGCUACUACCCUACCAUGUUGCAUCAACACCCAACCAAAACCGACACGAGAAGCAUCAUAAUAUACCACAAAACCAUCACUACCCUUGGGUAAGUUUAAUAUCAGAGCCAAAGUUAUCUUAUCUUUUAACUUCUCAAAACUACCCUCACACGCAUCGGACCACAAGAACUUGACCUUCUUUUGGGUCAACUUGGUCAAUGGCACAACUAUAGUAGAGAAACUCUCCAUAAAUCUUCUAUAGUAACCAGCUAGACCCAAAAAGCUUCAAAUAUCAAUUAUAGUCGUAGGUAUAAGACACUUCUUAACUGCCACGACCUUUUGGGGAUCUACCAUGAUCUCAUCACUAGUGAUAAAAUGACCAAGAAAAGCUACAACUUUCAACCAAAACUCAUACUUAGAGAACUUGGCAUAAAAAUGAUGAUCCUUCAAAGUUUGCAACAUGGCACGGAGGUGAUCUACAUGAUCCACCUCACUCUUAGAAUAGACUAAGAUAUCGUUAAUGAAGACAAUGACAAAUAUGUCUAACAACGGAUUGAAUACCCUAUUCAUCAAGUCCAUGUAUACCGCCGGGGCACUGUACAACCCAAAAGACAUGACAAGAAACUCAUAGUGACCAUACCUGGUUUUAAAGAUAGUCUUAGGGAUAUCCACAUCCCUUAUCUUAAGCUGAUGAUAAACCGAUCUAAGACCAAUCUUAGAGAAACACUUCACACCCUAAAGUUGACCAAACAAAUCAUCGAUCCUAGAAAGAGGAUAUUUAUUCUUUAUGGUCACUUUGUUCAACUGACGAUAAUCAAUGCACAUACAAAAAUAACCAUCCUUUUUGCACACAAAUAACAUGGGAGUAUCCUAUAGGGACACACUAGAGUGGAUAAAACCUUUAUCUAAGAGGUCUUUCAAUUGAUACUUAAGCUCUUUCAACUCCACUGAAGCCAUUCUAUAAGGAGGGAUAAAAAUUAAAUGAAUGUCCGAAACAAGAUUAAUCGCAAAAUCAAUUUCCUUAUCGGGAUAAACAAAGAGAAAAUCAUUGGAAAAUACCUCGAGAAACUCAUUAACCAUUGGUACAAAUUCUAGAGAAGGAUCUUUUGAGUUAGAAUCUUUAACUCGGACCAAGUGAUACAAAUACCCCUUUGAAAUCAACUUUUGGGACUUUAGAUGAGAAAUGAACAUUUCAUUAGGCACUAGGGAACCACAUUCCCAUACAAUGAUUGACUCAUUAAGGAAUCAAAACAUGACCCUACGAGUCCGACAAUCAAAGAAAGCAUACCAAGAGUGCAACCAAUCCAUCCCCAGAAUGAUAUCAAAAUUAACUAUAUCAAACUCUAUUAAGUAUACACGAGUAUCUCUACCACCAACUGAUAUCACACACCCCUUAUAGACUGUUCUAAUAAUCACAGGUUCUCCAACUGGGGUAGAAACUAAAAGAGGGAUAGAUAGACUCUCAGGACCACAAUCAAGAUGUUCAACCAUAUAUGGGGUUACAUAAGAAAGAGUAGACCCUGGAUCAAGAAAAAAUACACAUCAUGGGAGAAAAGUAUCAAUAUACCUAUGAAAACAUCAAGAGAUGCCUCAGAAUCCUGGCAGCAAGGGUACACAAGCGCUUUUAGCCAGCGCCAGUGACAAAAAUAAAAGCAGAGGUAGACAUAACACCCAUCUGUGCAGGAGUAGAUGGAGUAGCAAUAGGAGCCCUAUUGGCUAAGAAGCUGCUAGAGGGGGGCACUUACGCUGUAUGUGCCUAAUCUAACCAUAAUUGAAACAUCUAUUCCUUUCCUUCUCAUACUAAUCUCAAUGUCUCUGACUAUAAAAUCUGUAAGGAGGGUAGGAUAGAGCUGACUAGGCACCACUAGCCUGGAAUUGGGCACCUUGUUCCCAAGACCCAUCACUAAACUGAGACCAAUGAUCACUUAAAAACUUCUAGUAAGGAGAGCGCACAUUAUCCGAGGAGAAAAAACUCGAACUUCCUCACUUCUUUUGUGGCCACUUGCCACUAUCACCACCACUAUGCUCAGAAGGCCUAAAUUUCUUUCCUUGCCUCUCACUAAGCUCAACUUGCUUCCUUUUCUAUUCUUCUAUUUGUUGUAUAUACACAAUCAAUCUAGAAAUAUUUAUGUUCUCAAUCAACAAAGCCGACUUGCUCUCAAGGACUAACUUACGGGACAAUCUUGAGACAAACUUAUGCAUUCUAUCCCUUAUGAUAGAGACCAUUUCAAGAGCAUACCUUGACAAUUAAUGUAAUUUCAAGGCAUACUCUUGAACGAACAUCCUCCCUUGCUCCAAGUUCACAAACUCUUCUACCUUUGCCUUUCUUAACUCUAGAGAAAAGAAGCAGUCUAACAAAGCCUUGGAGAAAUCCUCCCACUUGGUGGGACUAGCAUCAACACCUCUAGAUAACUCCUUCAUCCCAUUGGUACGCUACAUCCUUCAAUUGGUAGGAAGGAAACUCAAUGAACUCAAUCUCUGAAGUAUGCAUGAUUCGAAAGAUCCUCUCCAUUUCAUUAAUGAAUCCUUGAGAAUCUUCCUCAACCUUUAUACUGGAGAACAUAGGAGGGCUCAACCUUAUAAAUUGGCUAAUUCUUAGGGCCUCAAAAGAAAUAGUAGCUAGAGCACCACACUCCGAUUAAGAGGCUAUUAAUUGAGUCAAGAGGUUGAUAGAGCGAUGAAACACGACAUUAGUAGCAUCUCUUUAAGGUGAUGGAAUAGGAGGGUCACUCUCAUAGUCGGGGUUGGUAGGGACAUGUGGAAACCUAUAAAGAUGGUUAGAUACCACAGCCCUAGCCCGAGUCCUAACUCUAGAAGUAGGAUGAGCUUUAUCUAUAGGGCCCUCAGAAGGGUUUGGCUAAGUCUCAGAUCUCCUUGGAGCCAUGAUCUGAAAGAUAGCAAAUAGAAAUCAGAGGAAUUUAAGACCUUAGACUCUAUAGCUUGAGAUUGAAACACAAGAAAAGAAAGCAUUUCUUAAAAUGCCUUAUAGCCCCUCUUUUAUAAGUAUGGCAUGCUUCACACCCAUAAAAGAGAUUUUACUUGACACGGUAUUGUGGACACCCAACUAAACAUAAACCUAGGCUCUGAUACCAAUUUGACACGAUCCAAAAUAGGGCCAUAUCAUAUAGGCACCUCAAGCCCAUAUGAAUUGGAGGUCCCCUGAUUACCCAUUAUAAUCAUCACAUUAAACACAAGGGUUGGGUAAAUCUCGACUGCAUAAUAAGAUAGCCAAAAUAAUACUAGAAGUCAUAAUUUAAACAUGUCUAAACACUUCAUUAGAUUCAUCAAUCUAACCAUUACACCCAAUUCCACAGUCAUCCACAGUACCUCUAUACAAACCGAUGUUUAGAAAUAUGUAUAUCAGGAUAAGCCCCCACCAAUAGCCAAACCAAGUCAAAAUGAAACUAGGUCUAAGAAUAGGGGACCAAAAUAGAUGUCUUCCGAAAUAAGGAAGCUCAUCACUUUGAGGUCAAUGUACGAACUGCUUUGAUCACCUAAUCACUGUGCAGGAAGAGAAGAUGAUGACUUGGCCCCUAUUUUGCAUGGGUACAUAACGUUUGAAGAUGGUUAACAGUUGGAACACUAGCAUGUAACUCAAAGAUAAUGAUAUAAUAGCAUUAAUAUUUAUCAAGAAGUCAAUAUAUCAUAUUCAAUCAUAUUCAUUCACUUAUCCUUACAUAUAGGUAUAUCAUAUACUAAUCAAGAAAUCAAGGCUUAACAAUAUUCUAGAGCAUUCAUUUAUUAGACAUGAAGUGGAGGACUCUAACCGUCCAUACUUAAACUCAACAAUUCUAUUUAGGCACAGGACUUUAAUCCCAAUCACAUACCAUUAGACAAAGGACUUUAACCAUGCUCAUAUGUUUAUUAUCUAAGGAAUUUAACCACAUACACAAUCAUUCAAACAAAGGACUCUAACGGCACACAUUCAUCUAGGCAAGGGAAUCCAACCUCAUGCUCAUUUAUUUGACAAAAGACUCUAACCUCAUGCCAAGGGACUCUAACUGUAAGCCAUUUUAUUCAACAAGGUACAUUAACCUCAAGAGAUCUCUUUAAGCAAGAGACUUUAACCUCGAGUAAUUUCAUUGGGAAAGGGACUCCAAUCUCAAGCCAUUCCAUAAGGCAAGAGACUCCAACCUAAAUCUAUUUCAUAAGGCAAGGUACUUCAACCUCAAGCAGUCAGUACUAUCGAUAGUUGAUAUUGGGAGUUUUACCCUUUGCCUAUGCAUCGAGAUUCAUUCCAUACAACACUUAAGGACUUUAACCAUUUAACUAAUUCAAUACUAAACAUGACCACAUGGUCCUUAAGGGAGCCUUCAUUGCUCAACCAUUUUAAUAGGCCAUUGCUUUCAUUUACUCCAUCAGACAAUUUAAGUUAUGGUCAUCAAGAUCCUCACAGCUGUUCAUAUUUCAUUAACUAUCUUAUACCAUAUUCUCCCAACACUUGAUUCAAUACACAAUUCAAAUACAUUAUCAUGCUUAGGAACUUCAACCCCUUAUUAGUCAAUUAAGCCAACAUGGUAAAAAAAUAUACAAUACAUAACUCAAAAUACUUUUAACCUACCAUUUAUCAAUUAUUCAUGCUUAUAGGGACACUUUCCUAGUUUAAAAUAUCACCAAUAUGUGACUAAAUAAUUCACUUAGACAUUUCCACAAACUCCUUAUGUGCAAACCUUUAACAAGGCUAUUUUUAUGCUAGAAAUCUUCAAGGUUAGGGUUACUUAAGACUGUAAGAUCCCGUAAGAUCCUAGCUCAUUUUGGCUCACUCUUGCAUGCUAAAGGGGUCCAAGACUUAGAAAAUUUUACUGUGUUCAGACUUAGUCUUUUCCAAAGCCUUUUAAACUUUGAUGAUUUUAAUUCUGACCUUCCCAGCCUUAGAACAUUGACUUUUAUGGUAAUUCAUGAUCGGGGUAGUCGAUAAUAUGUCUCAAGUAAGUUUCAAAUUUUUUGAACGAGGUUUGAGGCUUGUUUGGAUGUUCAAACUAGAGAGUCAACGCGAUAUAGCCAUGGCACACUGCUUAUCACAUUGGGGGGAUGCAACGCAGUGCGUCACCUAACGUAUUGACUGAGCAACGGGAUGCAUUACUUACCGCGUCACUGGCCAUAAUUAGUUUAAUUAAUUUCGGGUAUGCGGGGGUAUUUGAGUCAUUUUUCCCUUACUUUGCCUCACCCAUAACAUAAGAUUAAGGUCCGAAAAGGGCAAAAUCAUUCAUUUUUGCACAAACUCUCUCAAGAACAAAACCCUAGCUUCUUCAAAUCCAAGUUCAAGCUUUAAGAAAAUUACCAAGAACUCCCAAAAAUUCAUCAGUUAAGGUAUGUUAGAUGUUCUUCAUGGAUCCUUUUCACCCAUGGAGUCCAAGAAUCCGCUUUAAAGUUUAAAAUCAUGACCUGUAUAUGUUUUCAUGAAUUUUAUCCAAGAACUUCCACGAAUUUAAAUUUUUAUAUCAUCUUUACAUGUAUUUUUAUUGGAAUUAGCCUUUGAUCCAUUUGAAGGAUGAUAUUUGUAUGUUAAAUCCUUAACCAUGAUUUUAAUAUUGAAAUUAUAUUAUUAUGCCAUAAUUUAACUAUUCCCAUGCUUUAACUCAUGACCCCUAUGUGUUUGAUGAAAUGCCUAGAUAAAUUGGUUUUGAACAAUGACUACUUAUGAUGUCCUCAAAGUUGUAUUAUGGUUCUAUUAUUAUUGCUAUCGAGCUGUGGGGGUUAUGAAUACCCAUAAACUUAGUUGUUUACUUAGUCUCAGUAUCUUUAGAAUGGUUUUAGAUAUGUUAUAAGCAUUAUCAGUUUAGUUAGUUAUCUUAAUCAGUUAAACUUAGAUCAGUUCAGCAUUCCGAGUCAGUUUAGUUAGGAGUAGGAUUUAGCAUCGAGCUAAUGCAGGGAUGACGUCUUCCCUGUUAGUCAUACAGAGUCGUUAGUUGUAGUCCCUGUAUUCCAAAACUACGUAGCCAACAUAGGAUAUGGGGAUUCACCUAUUAGUUUAGGCUUAACUUUCUCUCAAGGGUCACCCGUCAAUUUAGGCUUGACACCCUGAUCCUUUGUGACGUCAGUUUAGUGGAUCUACAUAGAAAUUAUUAGUACCUAUGGCACGGAACUCUUUCAAUUAGGGUCAUAGAUUUGACCCCAAUUAGCUCAUAUUGGGACAUGUCGAUUAGAUGAUAACUCCCAUAAUCUUAGACCAAUAUUCAGUAAAGAGCUUAGUUUUAGGUUUACUUGAACAUAUCAUACAACUAAUAGUUAUUCAGUUAUCAGCAUGUUAGCAGUUCAGUUUACAAACUAUUUCAAAAUCAUAUUAUAUGUUUGGUCAUGCAUUCUCCGAUUUCACCAUUUUCAUGAAUUUAUAUUUAGUUACCUCAUGCUAUUCAUUCAGUCAAUCAUUAUUCAUGCACAUGAACCCAUUCAUAUUAGCCUAAACUUAUCUAGCAUACCAGUACAUUCAAAGUACUGAUCACAUACUCAUUUAUUGUCCUAUGAUAUUUAAUAUCAUAGGUUUAGACGCUCAGGUUUCCGAUCGUACUCAAACAUUCUAGUGCAUCAGCAACAAUAAUAGUGGUGAGUCCUCAUCUAUCAAGGACAUGGUUGUUAUUUUAGUACAUUUUAGUAUUUUAUUUUAGUUAGAUAGUUGGAGUUAGUUGGGGCCUGUCCCAUCAACUUUCUUUCAGACAUUUUUAGAGGCUUUCAGACAAUUUAGACAGCUAGUCAGUUGUUAGGCCUUUCAGUCAGAUUUUCAAUAAUUUCGCAUAUGUUUUAGAAUUUUGAGUUUUCAGUUGUAUUACUUACAUUUAAAACCUUAAGCUAUGUUUGUUUAUUUUGCACAUGUGUAUUUUGUUAUUAUUAUUCAACGCUCGUAGUAGGUACCAAUUAAUAGGUUAGCUUGUGGUCUUUUAAGACUAUAAGCACCAUGUGGCAUCCAGGGUGUAUUUUCAGGGAGUUGAAAACUUGGUAUCAGAGCCUAAGGUUUUGCAGUGUCCUAUAUUGUUUAAAAGCCGCGUUAAGUAGAGUCUUGUGCAUAGGUGUGAAGUAUGCCACACUUAUGGACAAGAGGCACAAGAUGUUUUUAGGAAAACUUUCCCUUCUUUCAGUAUUCAUGUCAUACAAAUGAGCAUGACCUCAAAUUAAACUCCCUUGCUAAUCUAAUCUUCCUUUCAUUUACAGACCAUGCCUCCCAGAAAGAACAAUGGAAGAAAAAAUGGGAAUCAUCUCACACCUCCACCCAUUCAGGAAGACCCCCUGAAUGAGUAUGUUUCAUAUGCUAAGUUAAGAGCUUCAUUCACUACUCUGGCUUACUCUGUAGCAGCUCAGAACAAUUGGCUAGCUACUGUCCUGUAAUACCCCACAUUUCCUUGGCUUAAGAUUAACUCUCAGUUCAUGAGUUAUCUAAUAUAAAAUUUUUGAAACACUUAGUAUUUUUCAAUUUAAAGCCUGCCAUUGUGUAGGAAAUUGAAUGAACGUUCCAACGAUCUAAAAUUUGCCUAAAUUCGAUAACUGGGUAACAAUUUAUGGCUAUUUUAAGUUUUUUUCAUUAAAAACCGUAAUUGAGGCCAGUAACGCAUCGCGGAGUAAGUCAAAAUAGCAAUUGUUAGUUUCCAGUAAAGUACCACUAUACUGGUACAUCGCGCCAUAACUUAAUUUCACAUUUGUCAAUUUCCAACAACCCAACACGAUUGUACCACAUCGCUCUGAGCUUCCAGGUCCCAUCCAGUAUUGCAAUGUGAUUCCACGUGUCGUACCACCAGCCAUAUUCCCAAUUGUCAUUUUUCAGUGUCUUGGUGCAAUAGCAUCGCGUUGUGCCAAGGCCUAAAAUUGGAUAUUUUAGUAUGAAUUUUUAAGUCAUUCUAAGGGAUAAAUGGGUAUUUUUCCAUGGCCCUAAUUAGUCUAAACACAAAAUUUAGCCCUAAAUAACCCAUUAUCUCAUUAUUUAUUCACUUUAUUCAAAGAUUAAGUCAUUCUCUCUCAAAAGGGGCUAAACCGUAGCUUCAAGAAAUAAGAGCAGAAAUCAAGAGUCUCUCUAAGAACUUUCAAGAAUCAACAAUCCAAGAUAUGUUAGGUGUUCAUCUAUGGAUUUCUUUCACCCAUAGAGUCCAUGAAUUCAUUUUUGAAAUCCAAGAUUGUUGAAUUAUGGAAUUCCAUGCUUGAAUUGAAUUGAAUUCAUGUUUAUGUUAUUGUUGAGUUUUAGUUCAUGAUUAAAUAACAUGCUUUUAUGAAAUUAAUCAUUGUAUUUAUGUUGAAUUACAUGAUCUUUUUGAUAAACCCUUCAAUUUUCAAGUUCAUUGAUGUCGCCAUGAUAGCUAUAUGUUUUGAUUAUUGUAUAACCUAAGCAUGCUCCUCAUAUGUUUGAUAAAAUGCCUAUGUGAAUGAAAUAGUGCCAUUAUAACCUGAUAGCAUGUAUUCCCCAUUCAUGUACAAGUUAAUACAUUAUAAGUGUUUGAUAAAAUGUCUUAUGAAUGAAUUAUGGACAAGUGUACAUUGUUAUGUAUUUCAAGAUUAUGCUAUGCCUUUUUUAUGCUAUAAAGCCCUGAGGGUAUUUAUUACCCGACAAUUUAGGUGUGUGCCUAGAGCUAGUGUCAGUUAUAAAAUCUCAGUCAUGUCACAAUUAGUAGUAAUCUCAGUCAGUUACAGAACUCAGUCGGUUACAGAAUUCAAAAAAACUCAGUAAACUCAGUGUUCAGUCCAGUCCAGUCCAGUAUACUCAGUUCAGUGUCUUUUAGUUGGGAGUAGGAUUCUGCACCGAGUGACCCCAAGGAUGGGGGAUCACCUACUAGUAGAGGGUGUGAUCCUUAGAAGUAAUACUUGUAUUCCAGAACUACAUAGCCAGCAUAGGUUGAGACAUCAAACCUUCCAGUUGAGGGUUGAUGAGGUGUUUUAACCUGCCAGAUGAGGGUUCCACCAUUCUCAUUAGAGUAUUUGUCAGAUGAGGGUAACUCUUCAGUGUCUUUACCCAUGGCGCAGUACUGACACCCUUCCAACUGAGGUCAUAGGUUGGACCCCAACUCCGUUAUCUUUUUUUAUUUGGGGCAUAUCAGUUAGAUGAUUACCUCCCACAGUCUCAGUCUCAGUCUUCAUAAUAGAACUCAGUUCAAUUCUACAGAAUCAGGACUAUCAGAUUCAAUCAAUCAGUAUUAGUAAAUUAGUUAUCAGUAACUUCAAAUAUCAGUUACUCAGUUUCAAAAUUUAGGACUUAGCUUCAGACAAGCUUAGUCAUAGUAUUUAUUUAUAUACACAUUAGUGGAUACUCAGUAUUUACAACAGUAUCAGUUUUCAAUAUACUCUCAUGUUUAGUUACUCUAUAUCAUAUAGUCAAUUAUUGUUCAUGACAAUAAACCCUUGCAUUCAGCCUUACCUUAUCUAGCAUACCAGUACAUUCCACAUACUAAGGCAUACUCUUUCUUUGCGGUAUGAUAUCUCAUAUCAAAAGUUCAGAUGCUCAAGUUCCCGACCACGCAUAGAUAGACUCAGAUUCAGCCAACAAUAGUUGAUUAGCAGUGAAUCCUCAUCAUUCAAGGAUAUUCUUUUAUUUCAUUAUUAUAGUAGAUACAGUAUUUCAAUAGAUGGAGUUAGUUGGGGGAUUGUCCCAUCAAUUCCACAUUUAGACAGUUCAGUUUAGAGGCUUUUCAGACUAGUUUCAGUCAGUAUUCAGUUUUAUAAUGUUAUCAUAGACGACAUAUAUUUUGUUAGUAUUUUAGAUAUUUUGAACCUUAUGGCAUUUCAGCCUAUAAAUUCGCAUUUAUUACAGUAUCUUGUUUCAGUGUCACAACGAGGGGUGUACAUAGGUCGGGUUGGUUCGGUUUUUUAUUAAAACAUAAUCAAACCAAUAAUGUCAUUUUUCUAAAUCUAUAAACCAAAUCAAGCCAAUAUACAAUCGGUUUUUUUAUUUUAAUUUUAGUCGAUUUUUUUCAAUUUUUUUAUUUUCUCGAUUUUUUUACAAUUAUAAUGUGAUUGAAGAAAAACAAUUAAUGUGUUCACCAAAAAGUUUUAAAAAAACAAUGGUCAUAGAGUAGUUUCAAUAAAAAUUAAGUUGGAAAAUUACUAAGACAUCUAAAUUAUUAUCUCUCAAAGUAAUAUUAUGUGGAUACCCAAGUAGUUCAAUUUCUAAGUCACUAGUCACAGUAGCUUGUCUGAAAGUUUCCUUCACAUAAAAUGUGAGCAUACAAAAGAACGACGAAUUGGAGACAACGUAUUAAAAAAUUAACUCCAUAAAGUAAUUAAUUAUAACAUAAUUCCAUAAAAAAAAAAGAGAAAAAAGAGAAACAAACCUAAAUCACAACUUGACGAAUGAGAAAAGUAAGAUAAAAGUAAGAUGAGAAAAUAAUGAGAACUCUCUGAAAACUUGGAAAGUAAAAUGUAAAAAGUGAAGCAAUUAAAGAGUUUUAGGUUUUUAUAUUAAAAUUGGGCUUUGUAUCAAUUUGUUAUUAAUGGAAAAAUACUAUAAUUAAAGGCCCAAAAAUAUAUAUCUAUUUUUUGAAUAUACAAAAAUAAUAAAUGUAAUUAGAAAGUAGAUUAUAAGUAGUGUUUUUUUAUGUAUAAAAUAUUUAAAUUAUAUAUGUAUUACGUCGGUUCGGUUUGGGUUUGGUUUGAUUUUAUUUUUGCUAAUACCAAACCAAACCAAGAAUGAUCAGAUUUUUUUGCCAACACCAAACCAAUCAAACCAAACCAUAAGUCAGUUGUUUCCUCGGUUUGGUUUGAUUCAUCGGUUCAGUUUGACUUAACAGUUCAGUUUGUGCACCCCUACUCACAGCAGAUAUCAGUCAUGGGUUAGCUUGUGGUCCUUCAAGAUCGUAUGCACCGUGUAGCGUCCGGAGUACAGACUCAGGGCAAAACAAACUUGGUAUCUAAGCCUAAGGUUCAACAGAGUCCUAGGGAGUCUGAAAGCCAUAACUAGUAGAGUCUUGUGCAGGGAUGUGUAGCGCACCACACUUAUGGACAGGAGGCUAUGCGAUGUUUUAGGAAACUAUUUCCCUUUCUUCAGUAUUCAUGUCGUGAGACUGAGCAUGAGCUCAAGUUAAACUCUCAGUCUAAUAUGUUUGCUCCUUUUUAUUUAUAGAACAUGCCACCAAAAAGGACUAAUGAAAGGAGAAUUGAAAAUCCAUAGACACCUCAGCCCGUUCAGGCAGAUCGCCUAGACAAGCAUGUCUCUUAUGUAGAAUUCAGAGCUGUAUUCACUACUCUUGCCAAUUUUACAACAGCUCAGAAUGAAUGGCCAACUGCUGUUCUGGCCAACCCAAUGGACAAUACUAUUACAGUCAGGAUUCGGUACUUUACCCAAAUAAAUCCUUCCCUAUUCUCAGGAAAUAAUCUAUAAGAGGAUCUAUAGGAGUUCUUCGAUUAGGUCUAAAAAGUCACAGAUAUUAUGGGAGUUACUUCCAGUGAAAGUGCUGAGUUAGCCACCUAUCAACUACAAAAUAUGGAUCAUACGUGGUUUAAGCAGUAAAAUGUAGACAGGGGUGAAGAUACAGAGCCCUUAGAGUGGAAAGAGUUUGAUACUGCUUUUAUAGAGAGAUUCUUUCCUUUAGAACUGAGAGAAGCCAAGGUGUUAGAGUUCAUUAAUCUCAGGAAGGGAAGUAUGAGUGUGAGAGAGUAUUCCCUCAAGUUUACUCAGUUAGCCAGGUAUGCUCCCCAUGUAGUAGGAGAUAGUAGGUCCAGAAUGAGCAAGUUCAUAUCUGAGGUAUCAGAUAGUGUGGUUAAGGAGCACAGGACAACAAUAUUGAUUAAAGAGAUAGACAUAUCCAGGCUUAUGGUCCUUGAUUAGCAGAUAGAAGAGGCUAAGAAUAGAGAAAAAGAGAGGCAAAACAAAAAAACUAGAACAUGUAGCUUUAAUUUCAAUCAGCCUAAGUUAGAGGGCAGUAACUGUUCAUAGUUUCAUAAAAAAUCUUCAGUUCCAGCUCCGUCCUCAGCCAGUGCUCCAGUACCUAGUUCAAAAUAGUAACAACGAUAGGUCUCCAGGCUCUAAAUCUUAGGGUAGUAUCAGUAGUGCUCGAACAAAUCCUCUUUGUUAGACAUAUGAUAGAAACCACAAGGGUGUCUACAGAGAAACCACAAGGGUGUCUACAGAGCUGACAGUGAUAUUUAUUUUGAGUGUCGCAAGCCAGGCCACAGAGUCAAAGAUUAUCCUCAGUCAGGUUCUCAGGGUCAGCAUACUUAUUCUUCAGCUCAGUCAGGUCGCCCGAAUUAGCAAGGUGCCGCUUAAGGUGCCACUAGUAAGCAGUGCCUAAAUAGGCUUUAUGUACUUCAGUCCAGACAAGAUCAAGAAAAUUCUCCUGAUAUGGUCACUGGUACAUUACAGAUCUUCCAUUUACAUAUUUAUGCCUUGCUAUAUCCAGGAGCUUUUUCAUCUUUCGUAACUCUUUAUAUAGCCUUUAACUUCGGAGUCAGUUCAGAAAUCCUAGUAGAGCCUUUUUCAGAUUUUACCCAGUAGGUAAAUCUAUCAUAGACCGACGGGUAUACAAGAACUGUUCGGUUAUGAUAUCUUAGAAAGUUACUUCAGUAGACCCUGUAGAGAUAGAGAUGGAAAGUUUUGAUGUCAUUCUUGGCAUAGAUUAGCUCCAUUUAUGCUAUACCUCAGUUGAUUGUAGAAAUAGAAUUAUUCUUGUAGAAGCGCAUGGUGCUCAUUACUCUAUUCAUCCAGGGGCUACUAAGAUGUACCGCGAUCUGUGAGAGAUCUAUUGGUGAAGUGGGAUGAAGAGGGAUAUUGUAGAAUUUGAAGCUAAAUGCUCUACAUGUCAGGAAGUUAAGAUUGAGCACCAGAAGCCUAGUGGGUACAUGCAGGAUUUUAGUAUUCCUACAUGGAAAUAAGAAGAAGUGAACAUAGACUUUUUGAUAGGUUUUCCUCGUACUCAUCAUCAGCAUGAUUCGAUUUGGCUUAUCGCAGAUAGAAUGACCAAAUCAGCUCAUUUUUUGCCAGUUCAUACUUCCUAUUCAGCCGAGGACUACACCAAACUUUAUAUCAGAGAGUUGGUCAGGUUACAUGGAGUUCCAGUAUCUAUUAUCUCAGAUAGAGGUACCCAGUUUACCUCUCAUUUCUAGAAAUCACUCCAAGAGGGUCUUAGUACCCAAGUUCAUCUCAGUACAACCUUCCACCCUCAGACAGAUGGUCAAGAAGAAAGGACAAUUCAGACUCUAGAAGAUAUUUUAAGGGCAUGCGUCGUCGAUUUUAAGGGUAGUUAGGAUGACCACUUGCCUUUGAUCGAGUUCAUAUGUAAUAAUAACUAUUAUUCCAGUAUUCAGAUGGCUCCAUUUAAAGCUCUUAAUGGUAGGAGAUGCAGAUCUUUGAGUAGUUGAUUUGAGGUAAGUGAGGCCAUGGUAGUUGGGCUUGACGUAGUGUUUGAUGCCUUAGAGAAGGUUCAGUUAAUCAGAGAAAGACUUAGGGCUGCCCAGAGCUGAUAGAAAUCAUAUGCAAAUGUUAGGAGAAAGGAUCAUGAGUUUGAGAUCAGUGAUUUUGUGUUUUUGAAAACCUCUUCCAUGAAGGGGGUAAAGAGGUUCGGCAAGAAGGGAAAGCUCAACCCCCGAUAUAUCGGUCCUUAUAGAAUUCUCAGCCAUUUUGGAAAGGUAGCUUAUGAGCUUGAGUUGCCUUCAGAUCUAGCCUCAGUGCAUCCAGUAUUCCACGUCUUCUUGCUAAAGAAAUGCAUUAGUGACCCAGCAGUCAUAGUUCCUUUAGAGGAUGUAAAUAUUUAGAAUGAUCUCUCUUUCGAAGAGGUUCCAAUCCAGAUCCUCGAUCAUCAAAUUUGUAGACUGAGAAACAAAUAAGUUACCUUAGUUAAAGUCCUUUAACAGAAUUAGUCUAUAGAGGGAGCUACUUGGGAAGCUGAAGUAGAUAUGCAGAUCAAGUAUCCUCACCUCUUCUCCGCAACCUCGGAUCCAGCUUAAGGUAACAGUCUUCCUUAGUUUUACUCAGUUCCAUGUUCAGCUAUAAUUAUAACUUGGCAUCCAUUACCGUUGCAUAUUCAGUCAUGCAUUCAUAAACCAGUUCAAUCAUGUAGUCAUGCAUUAUAUAUGCAUGUUCAAUGUGUAAACUCAAUCUAUCAGUGUCUCGGUUUAAUCAGUCUCAUUCGAGGAUGAAUGUUCCCAGGGGGAGAUAUUGUAAUACCCCAUAUUUCCUUAGCUUAAGAUUAACUCUUAGUUCAUGAGUAAUCUAAUAUAAAACUUUUGAAAUGCUCAGUAUUUUUAAGUUUAGAACCUGCCAUUGCGUAGAAAAUUGAAUCAGCUUUCCAACGACAUAAAAUUUACCUAAAUCCGAUAAACAGGUAAGAAGUUAUGGCUAUUUUAAGUUUUAGUCAUUAAGCACCGUAAUUCUAGCCAGUAGCGAGUCGCAGAGUAAGACAAAAUGGCAAUUGUUAGUUUCCAGUGAAGUACCGCUAUAACGGCAUGGCGCGCCACAGCUUAAUUUCACAUUUGUCAAUUUCCAGUGAGUGAACACGAUUGUACUGCAUCGCGCCGAGCUUCCAGGUCCUAUCCAGUAUUGCAACAUGAUUCCACUUUAUCACGCCACCAGCCACAUUCUCAAUUAUCAUUUUUCAGUGGCUUGGUGCGAUAGCGGUGUGCCACGCUAGGGCCCAAAAUUAAGUUUUUCAGUACAAAUUUUUAAGUCAUUAUCAGGGGUAAAUGGGUAUUUUUCCAUGGCCCUAAUCAGUCUAAACAUGAAAUUUACCCUUAAACAACCCAUUAUCUCAUCAUUUAUUCACUUUAUUCAAAGAUUAAGUCAUUGUCUCUCAAACGGGGCUGAACCCUAGCUUCAAGAAAUAAGAGCAGAAAUCAAGAAUCUCUCCAAGAACCUUCAAUAAUUAACAAUCCAAGGUAUGUUAGGUGUUCAUUUAAGGGUUCCUUUCACCCAUAGAGUCCACGAAUUUAUUUUUGAAAUACACGAUUGUUGAAUUAUGAACUUUUACGCUUGAAUUGAAUUGAAUUCAUGUUCAUGUUAUUGCUGGGUUUUAGUACAUGAUUAAAUUACAUGCUUUUAUGAAAUUAAUCAUUGUAUAUGUGUUGAAUUACAAGAUCUUCAUGAUAAACCCUUCAAUUUGUAAGUUGAUUGAUGUGGCCAUGAUAACUAUAUGUUUUGAUUAUUGUAUAACCUAAGAAUACUCCCCAUGUGUUUGAUAAAAUGCCUAUGCAAAUGAAAUAGUGCAAUUAUAACAUGAUAGCAUGUAUUCCCCAUUCAUGUACAAGUUAAUGCAUUACAAGUAUAUGAUAAAAUGUCUUUAUGAAUGAAUUAUGGACAAGUGUACAUUGUUAUGUAUUUCAAGAGUAUGCUAUGCCUUUCUUUUAUGCUAUCAAGUCCUGGGGGUAUUUAAUACCCGAUAAUUUAGCUGUAUGCAUAAAGCCAGUGCCAGUGAUAGAAUCUCAGUCAUGUCACAAUCAAUAGUGCUCCCAGUCAGUUACAAAACUCAUUAGAACUCAGUUGGUUACAGAGCUCAGGAAAACUUAGUAAACUUAGUGUUCAGUCCAGUCAAGUUCAGUAUACUCAGUUUAGUGUCUUUCAGUAGGGAGUAGGAUUCAACACCGAGUGAACCCAAGGAUGGGGGCUCACCUGCUAGUAGAGGGUGUGAUCCUUAGAAGUAAUCCUUGCAUUCCAGAACUAUGUAGCCAGUAUAGGUUGAGACAUCAAACCUGCUAGUUGAGGGUUGAUGAGGCAUUUUAACCUGCCAAAUGAGGGUUCCACCAUUCUCAUUAGAGUACCUAGAAGAUGAGGAUAACUCUUCAGUGUUUUUACUGGCACGGUACUAACUCCCUUCCAACUAGGGUCACAGGUUGGACCCCAACUCAGUUAUUUUAUCUUAUUUGGGGCAUGUCGAUUAGAUGAUUACCUCCCACAGUCUCAAUCUCAAUCUUUAGAAUAGUACUCAUUCAAUUUUACAGAAUUAGGACUGUCAGGUACACUCAACCAGUACCAGUAAAUCAAUUAUUAGUAAUUUUAGACAUCAGUUACUCAGUUUCAGAAUGAAGGACUUAGCUUCAGGCAAGCUUAGUCAUAGUAUUUAUUUAUAUGCAUAUUAGUGCAUACUCAGUAUUUACAGUAGUAUCAGUUAUCCAUGUACUCUCAUGUUCAGUUACUCAAUAUCAUACAGUAAGGUAUUUUUCAUGCAUAUGAGCCCUUGCAUUCAGCCUUACCUCAUCUAGCAUACCAGUACAUUCCAUGUACUGAUGCAUACUUUUUCUUUCAGCUAUGAUGUCUCAUAUCAUAGGUUCGGAUGCUCAGAUUGCCGACUGCACAUAGAUAGAUCAGAUUCAGCUAACAGUAGUAGAUUAGCAGUGAGUCCUCAUCAUUCAAGGAUAUUAUUUUAUUUUAUUAUUAUGGUAGAUAUAAUAUUUCAGUAGAUGGAGUUAGUUGGAGGAUUGUCCCAUUAUCUCCAUAUUUAGAUAGUUCAGUUUAGAGGCUUUUCAGACUAGUUUCAGUCAGUAUUCAGUUUUACAGAUGUUAUCAUAGACGUUAUAUAUUUUGUCAGUAUUUCAGAUAUUUUGAACCUUAUGGCAUUUCACCCUACUUUUUUUACAUUUAUUACAGUAUCAUAUUUUAGUGCUCACAACAGAUAUUAGUCAUGCGUUAGCUUGUGGUCCUUUAGGGUCGUAAGCACCAUGUAGUAUUUGAGGUACAAACUUAGGGCGUUACAUGUCCCAGCCAACCCAGUGUCUAAUACCGCCGUAUCUAGGAUUUGGGAGUUCACCUAAAUGAAUCCUCCUCUAUUUUUGGGACCCAAGUCUGAUGAGGAUCCACAGGAGUUUCUCGAAAUAGUUCAAAAGGUAACAAAUAUUAUGGGUAUGACUUCUAGUGAGAGUGCAGAAUUGGCUGCUUACCAGUUGCAGGAUGUAGCUUAUACUUGGUAUAGGUAGUGAAAGGGGGAUAGAGGUGUAGAUGCAGAGCCUAUAAAAUGGAAGGAGUUUUCUUUAGCCAUUUUACAUAGAUUCUUUCCCUUAGAGUUGAGGGACACUAAGGUGCUGGAUUUCAUUAAUUUAAAGAAGGAAAAUAUGAGUGUGAAGGAGUAUUCGCUUAAAUUUACUCAGCUAGCCAGGUAUGCUCCUCAUGUGGUGGCUGAUAAUAGGUCUAGGAUAUGCAAGUUUGUGUUUGGUGUAUCUGAUAGUGUGGUCAAGGAGUGUAAAACCAUAAUGUUUAUUAAAGAGAUGGAAUUAUCUAGGCUUAUGGUCUAUCCUCAACAAAUUGAGGAAAAAAAGGUUAAGGAGAAAGAAAGAGAGAAUAAAAGGGCUAGGACAGGUAGUUUCAACUUUGCUCAGUCGAGGUUAGAUGGUGGUAACCGUACCCAAUUCCAUCACAAAUCUUCAGCUGCAGCUCCAUCUUCAGCUAGUGCUCCUAUGCCAAAGUUCAUAAAUGACAAUCAGGAUAGGGCGCUAGGCUCUAAGUCCCAAGGCAGUGUAAACAGUGGUCGCACAAAUCCUCUUUACCAAAAAUAUGGUAGAAUCCAUUAGGGUGAGUAUAGAGCUGUCAAUGAUGUAUACUUUGGGUAUGGGAAGCUGUCAAUGAUGUAUAAAUAGGGUCAUUUAAUUUUAGUUUCCGAAUGAACCAGUUCUUAAAUAGAGGGUUAGUACUUCAAUCCUUAGGGGUUAGCCUGUUUCAUAUCUUAGAGUGAGAAAAAUAAUAUCCAAGGGGUGUGUUUACCAUCUUGUUUGAGUCAAAGACUCUAGUUCAGAGACUCCCAACCUCGAGUCAGUUUCAGUAGUGAGGGAAUUUCUUGAUGUGUUCCCUGAACACCUUCUCGGAGUUUCUCCCAAAAAGGAAAUUGACUUUUGAAUAGAACUUCUUCUAGAUACCCAUCCUAUCUUUAUUUCACCAUAUAGAAUGGCUCCAGGUGAACUAAAGAAGUUGAAAGAACAGUUAAAAGACUUCCAAGAUAAGGGAUUUAUUAGGCCAAGUAUUUCCCCAUGGGGCGCUCCAGUCCUUUUCGUGCAUAAAAAAGAUGGCUCCCUUAGAAUGUGUAUCGAUUAUCGUUAAUUGAACAAUGUCAUAAUCAAGAAUAAAUAUCCACUCCUCAAAAUCGAUGACUUAUUCAACCAAAUUUAACGUGCUACUUAUUUAUCUAAGAUAGACUUUAGAUCUAGCUAUCAUCAGCUCAAAUUCAAAGAAUGUGACAUUCCAAAAUAGCUUUCAAAACUCGGUAUGGUCACUUCGAAUUCCUAGUCAUGUCUUUUGGACUAAAGAAUGCCCCAUCGGCUUUUAUAGACUUAAUGAUCAGAGUGUUCAAACAGUUCUUGGACAUGUUCAUUAUAGUCUUCAUUGAUGACAUUCUUGUCUAUUCCCGUAGUGAAAAUGAUCAUACAGACCAUCUCAGAAUUGCAUUGCAUACUCUUAGAGCCGAUCAGUUGUUCGUCAAAUUCAGUAAGUGCAAAUUUUGGCUAAUAUCAGUAGUUUUCCCUGGCCAUAUUGUUUUCAGUGAUGACAUUAGGGUUGAUUUUUAAAAGACCGAAGCAGUGAAAAACUGGCCUAGACCUAUCUCUUCAUCAGAUAUCAGGAGUUUCUUAGGUUUGGCUAGCUAUUACUAAUGGUUUGUUGAAGGUUUUUUAUCUAUUCCAUCCCCUAUGUCUAGAUUGACUCAGAAGAAAGUUAAGUUUCAGUGGUCAGAUUCUUGUGAGAAGAGUUUUCAGGAGUUGAAGACUCGACUCACCUUAGCCUUAAUUUUGACGUUGGCAGACAGUUUAGAGAGAUUUGUUGUUUACUGUUAAGCUUCUAGAGUUGGUCUUGGUUGUGUGUUGAUACAGAGAGGUAAGGUCAUAGCCUACGCUUCUAUACAACUUAAACCCUAUGAAAAAAAUUAUCCUACCCUUGAUCUUGAGUUAGCUGUUGUUGUGUUUGCUUUAAAAAUUUAAAGGCAUUAUCUCUAUAAGGUGCAUGUUGAUAUGUUCAAAAACUACAAAAGCUUUCCGUAUGUACUUUCAAAUAAAGAUUUGAAUCUUCGUUAGAGAAGAUGUUUGGAGUUGUUGAAAGACUAUGAUAUGAGUGUUUUGUAUCACCUGGGCAAGGCCAAUAUAGUGGAAGUUCCCUUAGUAGAUUGUCGAUGGGUAGUGUUGUUCAUAUUGAGAAUGAUAAAAAAUAGUUAGUUCAGGAGGUUCAUCAGCUUGCUAGAUAAAGUGUUCGGUUGGUUGAUUCAGCUGAGGGUAGUGUUUGGGUUCGGAGUAGUUUGGAAUCUUCAUUGGUUGCCGAAGUAAAGAAGAAGCAGGGUAGGGAUCCAAGUUUAGCUAAGCUGAAAGAAUAAGUGAGAGACCUGAAAGUUGAGGUUUUCUCCCAAGGGGGAGAUAGUGUGUUACAUUAUUAGGGUAGACUGUGUGUUCUAUGUCUUGAUGAUUUGAGGCAGCGAAUUCUUGCAGAGGCACAUGGUGCGUGUUACUCUAUUCACCCAGGAUCCACUAAGAUAUACCACAGUUUGCGAGAAAUCUAUUGGUAGAGUGGUAUAAAGAGGGAUAUUACAGAGUUUGUAGCUAAGUGUUCUAACUGUCAGCAGGUUAAGGUUGAGCACCAGAGGCCUAGUGAAACCUUACAAGAGUUUAACAUUCCCGCUUGGAAGUGGGAAAAGGUGAACAUGGAUUUUGUGACAGGCUUGCCUCAUAUGCGUACUCAGCAUGAUUUAAUAUGGGUUAUUUAGCCUAUUUCUUGCUAGUUCAUACUUUCUAUGCGACCGAGGAUUAUGCCAAGCUCUAUCUUAGAGAAUUGGUUAGAUUGCAUGGAUUCUCGUUGUCUAUCAUUUGAGAUAAAGGUAUUCAGUUUACCUCUCACUUUUGGAGGGCUUUUCAGAAGGGUCUAGGCACCCAAGUUUAUCUUAGUAUAGAUUUUUAACCUCAUAUAGAUGGUCAUGCAGAGAGGACCAUUCAUACCCUAUAAGAUAUGUUAAGGGCAUGUGCUCUCAAUUUCAAGGGUAGUUCGGAUGAUCAUUUAUCCUUAAUUGAGUUUGCCUACAAUAACAGUUACCAUUCUAGUAUUCAAAUGGAUCCGUUUGAGGCUCUCUAUGGGAGGAGAUAUAGAUCUCCUAUUAUUUGGUUUGAGGUAGAUGAGACUAUAGUAUUAUGGCCUGAUUUAUUAUUUAAUGCAAUGGAAAAAGUUUAGUUAAUCAGGGAGAGGCUUAAAAAAGCCCAAAGAUGACAAAAAUCAUAUGUAGAUAUGAGGAAAAGAGAUCUUGGGUUUGAGGUUGGUGACUAGGUCUAUUUGAAAAUCUCUCCCAUGAAGGGAGUGAAGAGGUUCGACAAGAAGGGAAAGCAUAGUCCCCGAUAUGUUGGCCCUUACAGGAUCUUAAGCCACUUUGAAAAAGUAGCUUACGAGCUUGAGCUGCCUGCAGAUUUGGCAUCAGUGCACCCAGUGUUUCACAUUUCUUUGUUGAAAAAAUGUAUUGGUGAUCUAGCUGUCGUUGUUCCUUUAUAAAGCUUAGAUGUUUAGGAUAGCCUUUCUUAUGAAGAAGUUCCAGUCAAAAUCUUAGAUUGCCAUAUUCGCAGACUAAGGAACAAAGAAGUUCCCUUGGCCAAAGUUCUUUGGCGAAAUCAGUCCAUUGAGGGAUCCACUUAGGAAGCAUAAGCAAAUAUGUGAACCAAGUACCCUUACCUUUUCUCUGCAAACUCAGAUUCUGUUUAAGGUAAUAGUUUUCCCUUAGAUUAUAUCUUUUUUAUUCUCAGUCCCAGCUAUAUGAUCAUAUUAAUAUCAUUACAUGCAUUCACGAAUCAGUUCAGUCAGUCACCAUGUUCAGACUCAGUCAUGUAAUCAUGUUUUAGUUGCGUAUAUUCAACAUGUACACUCAGUACCUCAAUAAUUCUCAGCUUAACUAGUCUCCUUCAAGGACAAAUGCUCCCAAGGAGGGGAUAAUGUAAUAUCCCGUAAGAUCUUAGCUCGUUUCGACUCACUCUUGCAUGCUAAAUGGGUCCAAGACUUAGAAAAUUUCACCAAGUGUUAAAACUUAAUCAUUUCCAAAGCCUCUUAAACUUUGAUAAUUUUAAUUUUGACCUUCUUGGCCUUAGAACGUCAAUUUUUAAGUUGAUUCAUGAUCGGGGUGGUAGACAACAUGUCUCGGGUAAUUUUCAGAUUUUUUGAAUAAGGUUUGAGGAUUGUUUGGAUGUUCAAACCAGCGAGUUAGUGUGAUAUGGCUGUGGCAUGCUGCUUAUCACUUUGGUGGGGUGCAAUGUGGCGUGUCGCCUAAUGGAUCGACUGAGCAACCUGAUGCGUCACUUACCGUGUCACUGGCCACAUUUAGUUUGAUUAAUUUUGGGUAUUUUGGGUAUUUUAGGGUAUUUGAGUUAUUUUCCCCUUACUUUACCUCACCCAUAACACGAUAUUAAGGCCCAAAAAGGGAAAUAUCACUUAUGUUUUCACAAGUCUCUCAAGAACAAAACCCUAGCUUCUUCAAAUCCAAGUUCAAGCUUCAAGAAAAUCACCAAGAACUCCCAAAAAUUCAUCAGUUAAGGUAUGUUAGAUGUUCAUUCAUGGAUCCUUUUCACCCAUGGAGUCCAAGAAUUCGCUUUAAAGUUUAAAAUCAUGACCUUUAUAUGUUUUCAUGAAUUUUAUCCAUGAACUUGCAUGAAUUUUGAUUUUUAUAUCAUGUUUACAUGUAUUUUUGUUGGAAUUAGCCUUUGAUCCGUUAGAAGGAUGAUAUUUGCAUGUUAAAUCCUUAACCAUGAUUUUAAUAUUGAAAUUAUGUUAUUAUGAGAUAAUUUAACUAUUCACAUGCUUUAACUCGUGACCCCUAUGUGUUUGAUAAAAUGCCUAGAUGAAUGGGUUUUGAACAAUGACUACUUAUGAUGUCCUUAAAGUUGUAUUAUGAUUCUAUUGCUAUUGCUAUCGAGUCCUGGGGGUUAUGAAUCCCUAAAAACUUAGUUGUUUACUUAGUCUUAGUAUCUUCAAAAUGGUUUUAGAUAUUUUAUAAGCAGUAUCAGUUCAGUCAGUUAUCAUAAUCAGUUAAACUUAGAUCAGUUCAGUAUUCUGAGUCAAUUUAGUUGGGAGUAGGAUUUAACACCGAGCAAAUGCAGGGAUGACAUCUUCCCUGUCAGUCAUGUGGAGUCGUUAGUAGCAGUCCCUAUAUUCCAGAACUACGUAGCCAGCUUAGGAUAUGGGGAGUCAAAUAUCAGUUUAGGCUUGACUUUGUUUCAGGGGUCACCCGUCAGUUUAGGCUUGACACCCUAGUCCUUCAGGAUGUCAGUUUAAUGGAUCCACACAACCAUUGCUAGUAUUUGUGGCACAGUACGGGCACUCUUCCAACUGGGGUCAUAGGUUGGACCCUAAUUAGCUCAUAUUGGGGCAUGUCUGUUAGAUGAUAGCUCCCACAGUCUCAGACCAGUAUUCAGUACAGAGUUUAGUUUCAGGUUUACUUGACAAUAGCCUAUAAAUACCAGUUAUUUAGUUAUCAGUAUGUCAGUAUUUCAAUUUACAAACUAUUUUAGAAUCAUAUUAUAUGUUUGGUCAUGCAUUCUUAAAUUUCACAGUUUUCAUGCAUUUAUAUUUAGUUACCUCAUGCUAUUUAUGCACAUGAACCCAUGCAUAUUAGACUAACCUUAUCUAGCAUACCAGUACAUUUAAAGUAUUGAUCGCAUGCUCAUUUCUUGCGCUAUGAUGUUUAAUAUCAUAGGUUUAGAGGCUCAGUUCCCAACCAUACUUAGACAUUCUAGCACAUCAACAGCAACAACAGUGGUGAGUCCUAAUCUAUCGAGGACAUGGUUGUUCUUUCAGUUCAUUUCAAUAUUUUAUUCCAGUUAGACAGUUGGAGUUUGUUGGGGCCUGUCCUAUCAACUCUCUUUCUAACAUUUUAGGAUGCCAGUCAGUUGUUGGUUUUUUCAGUAAGAUUUUUAAUAAUUUCGCAUAUUUUUUAGACUUUAGGUUUUCAAUUGUAUUACUUUUAGAUUUAAAAACUUAAGGUGUGUUAAAUUAUUCUGCACAUGUGUAUUUUGUUAUUAUUAUUCAAUUCUCACAAUAGGUACUAGUUCAUGGGUUAGCUUGUGGCCUUUCGGGACCAUAAGCACAGUGUGGCAUCCAAGGUGUAUUUCUGGGGUGUUACAAAGACCCUAAUGUUAAACCUUACACAACAAGCAUCCACAUAUGCAAAUCAUCAUCAUUAACAUGUAUAAACAUAAGUCUAAGCAAGAGUCAACAUUAUUCAUCAUUAGAUAACAAAACUCUUUUCAUUUGAUUUCAAAGUCACUAUGUACACUUACUAAUCCAAGUGUAAAAUACAUGGGUUAAGAGUUAUUUAACAAGUGGGAAUAGGUACAUGCCUUAAACAAGAUGACUCACUAAGAAACUUAACUUUGCUUUGCCUCCAGAAGAUUACCCUUGAAACCCUAACCUUCAAUUCUUCAAAGAUGAGUUUGAGAGAGUAUUUUGGGUGUUUGAUCCCCACAAAAUAUGUUUAAGGAGGCCUUAUACACCUACAUAGUGAAGGUAUUUAGGAUUUAAGGCAAGGGAAAUGACCACAAGGCCUUUAGUUAAAAGCUAUAAAAUGAGCUCGUGCAGGGGUACGACUCACCUUAUGAACUGUACCCUAGGGUACUAGUGGUACCCUGAAUCAUACCCUACGCUUAUCCUAGGUCACCUACACUAUUAAGGGUAUGAUCACACAACCUUGAGUUGUAUCCAAAAGGUACGACUCAACCCUAACUCGAAUACACCACUCGUACCCCAAACAGUUCACUCAAGAUAGGACUUCCCUCUAUACGAUCAUGUUGGGUACAAUUGAUGAGAGGGUUCAUUCAUACCUAGGACAGUGAGUAACCCUUACCACACUUCUUAGGAUACUAGAUGGGAAGAGAAGAAGGAUAUGACUCGUAUCCAAGGGGUACGAUUCGUGCCCCUAGUCGUACCCACCCCAAUGUCAUCAAAUGGAGAGUUCUUUCAAUGGUUCAAAGUCUAAGUGUUUCACAAAGAUUUUAAGGUCUUCUAUGUCAUAACUACUUGAUUCUUUUUCUUUGUCCUUUAACUUCUCCUUAAGUCCUGGAAUCGACUUUGGACUCUUCUUGAUAACAACCCAGGCUUGGAAGUCCUUUGAUUGGACAAAGAUUCUGAACCUAUUCUUCUAGUAAGAGUAAUGUUGUCCAUUAAAGUAUGGUGGUCUUGUGGAGAAAUGACCAUCUUGAAGGAGAGUGCCAAGAAUUUGAUAAUUGGCCAUUUGAUCUUUGCUCACUUGCGGUUAAGCAAUACUAUAGGUGAGACCUACUCUGAUACCAAUUGAAAUUCAAGAGGGGGUGAAUUAAAAUUUUUUUGUGAGUCGACUAAUGACUCCUUAUAGUCGAAUUACCUAUAUAUCAGUGCACUUUACAAAUAUAUUAUAUUUAAAAUAAUUAAACAAGUAAAUAACAGAAUAUAAAGUAAUAACACAAAUAUUUAUCCUGGUUUGGAACACCAAUGUGGUGCCUACUUCCAGUCCCUUUGGGUUUCAAAGUUCUCUUAGAUCGUUGACUGUUGGGCUUGAGUACAAUGAUAGGAAAUAAUUUUUGAAGAAUUUUUUUCUCUUCAGAUCUUGUGAAACAGCUUUAGUUGAUGUUACAAAGUUGACUCGGCCCUACUCUUUAUAUAACAAUUGUAAACUAAAAGCUACAAAGCCUCGUUAGGCUAAGAUUGGGACACAUUAAAUUUUCUGCUUGAAGUUGCAUAAAAAACGUCUGUCUUUAGUCUUCAUCUUUUAUAGUCUCAGCUGCUACUCUUCAUAAGGAAACCCAAAAGAUUUUUUCUCAAUCAAGGAUAUAAAUUGAUUUCUUGAUUGAGGAAUGUAGCCGUAUGAUAUGUCCAUAUACGACUUUGGAGCACGUCCAUAUCAAAUAUGUCCGUGAUCUAUUUUUUUUUUGGUCUUGUAGAGAUUGAUGUCUUUCUAAAUGUGCUCGUGAUCUUUUUUUUUUUCUUGAUCUGAUUUGUUGAAACUUAUCUUGAUUGAUUUGGUCUGUUGUGAUUCUAGGAUUGCAAUAUUUCUUCUAUUUGCAUGAUAUUUGAUUGAUCUUCUUGCCAUACUAUUUAAAUAUCGUGAUCCUCUAUAUCUUCGAGUGAGGUACUCUUCUAUCUUCCAAUAUCUUGAUUUGAUUUUUUGUGGCAUUUGGAGCUGAGAUUCUCUUUCUAUUUGUUCUCAUUUGUGAUUAAAUUACUUGGAUACCAUGGAUGUCCUUCCGUUCUUGAUGUUCCUAGAGCUAGCAUCCUUUAUCCUUCCAAUAUUAGCAGUUUUCAAUGUCCUGCAAAGAUACACUUGUUAGUUUGUCAUUAUUAAAAUGUAGAGGCUAAAAAAUACAUCAAGAAGUCCUCAAAACUAAGCUAAACACGCAUAGAUAAUGACACUUAGGUGUAUAAAUACGCCUAAGAUAAACUCUUGGACAAAAUUUAAUUUCAUUUCGACCCAAGUCGUAUUCCCUCUAUUUUUAGACUUUGAGAGCUCAAAAAUUGGUAAUUUCAAAAGAGUUUUUGUGAAUUCUUCCAUGGGUAUGUCUCUAAACCUUGUAUUCAUCUCUUUUCAUUUAUUUCUUUGUAUCUUCAGAUGUUUGAUUUUAAACAUGAUUUUGGAGAUUUUACCUGAUAAAGUAGUUGAUCAAUUUCUUAUUGAUUUGAGGUCCGAUUUAACUCAUUUUUAGUUGAACUUUCAGAUUUAGAUUCCUCUUGAUAUGAAAAAUAUUAUUCUCAAAUUAAAUUCCAAUUUACUCUUGCCAUUCUGGAAUUGAUUUUUGGACCAAAACAAAUAUAGUCGAUGUGGAUAUGAUUGGACUCCUGUUGACUUGUAGAUGUCAUAAUUGAAUAGAUUGGUUAUGUUUGGAGAUGAUUCGAAGGAGUAGAGCUUCCACUGACGAUUCAGAUUUGUUUGACAUCUUCUUUAAAGGCAAAUUGAGAUAUACUUUGGAUUUUUUUGAAGUAUUUUUGUGCUGUAUGAUUGUUUGCUUGUGCUUUGUGAAUCUCUUAGUAUUGGAGAUCCCUUUUUGAUGAAAUAACGAGCAUCUCCCUAGGUACCAGAGUCAUUUGAUGGAUUAUAGUCAUACAUAAGGUUAUUUUAUUUAUUCUAGCCACUUCUAAUUAUAGUUAGAUUAGAUUGUAGAUAGUUGUCUUGUUGAUCUUAAAUAAUUGAUGGUGAAUUAUCUAGUCCAGAGCUUGAAUUGCAUUUCGUGAACUUUAUUGUGAUGAUCGAGUUUUAGUGACCUUUUAGGGGAUAAUCAUAUUAUUGUUGUUAUUUUGAUGAGUUGACUGAGGUUUAGGAAAUACUUAGAAUACAAAUGGACUUAUAAUAAUUGUGGUGAUUAUCAUGGUUUAGUAUUUCUUACUAGGGACUAUUAUUAACUAGUAUAGCUCUCCUUUUAGUUAUUUAGUCCAAUGCUAUCAUCUUUGGGAAAGAAGAGACGUACUAUUACAGAAUAAGCUAGGUUUGGGUAAGUUUUGAUAUAUAGUAGUAUAUGUAUUAUUUAUUAUUUUUGUCCUAUCCGUGUGGGGACUUAUGUGAUUAUUAUCAUUGGAUUGAGAGAUUAUUACUAUAGUGAUGCCCGAGAGGCAGCUUGAAUUGACAUUAUUGACAUUAUUUGUGCAUUAAUUGACUUAUCAUUUAUCCUAAUGCCGAGUGGGGGCUUGAGCUAAUAAUAUAUGCCACACUUGAAGCUUAUUUCCCUUUUAAUUUUGUGAUGUUCGAGAAAGAAUUUGUAUGAUGAUAUUAUUGAUGUCUACAAGUCUAUUCACUUUAAUGGUACCGAAGAGGGCUCAUAUGAUGGAAUAUUAUCAUAUUGAGGUGAUUUGAGCACAUUAUACCAUUAUUGAGUUGAGUCAUUAUCAUUAUAUUGACUUACUUAUGCACAUGCAUCCUCAUCUUAUUCAUAGAAAUUGGUACCAUUGAGAAAUACUUUAUAAAAUCGUUUAUCUAUGAACAUUUUUCGGAGAGGUGAAUGAGUCACUUUAUAAAAUUCUUUAUCCAUGAACAUUAGCUGGAGAGGUGAAUUGUGAUCUGAGAUUAAGAUUGUGAAAGCAUAUGGAUUUCUAAAUCCCAUGGGUCCUAUUUGAAGCGUUGAGGCUUAGAAGGUGUAUAUAAAAGUUAUGUGAUGGCUUAUAUCAUCACCAUUCCAUCAUCAUUAUUAUAUUGCACUACAUUACUUGCAUCGCAUUGCAUUCCUUGGUAUGAUUUGAUAUUGUGUUUGAAUAUUUACUUUUAUACUGAAUGUGAUUGAACCUUGUUUGUGAUAUUAUGUAGUAUGCAUUCAUUUCACUAUAUUAUAUCAUAUAUUAUCUUCUCUUAGUUGAGUUGGUGCUUGAGAUAUUAUGAGACGUGGAGUAUGGCUAUAGCUUGAUCAGUGAGAUUGUAGUGUCGCACCUGUAGGUGGCAUGAUAUACACAUAUUUGUACACUCUCAUCAUUUCACCCAUAUUAUUGUUUGAACAUAUUUCCUGAUCAUGAUAUACAGUGUUAGUGAGUCUCCCUCAUAAAUGACUUCCUUUUACUAGUUAAUUAUAAAAUUACUAGUGUUGACUCACCUAAAUUAGUUUGCCUACAUGUACAUAUUGAUAUUUCCACGACUAUUGAGUUGAGAUACUGAUGAGUGGUGAUUUUACUACUCAUUUGCACUCAAUGUUUAUGUAUAUUAUCAUGGUUUGAAUGAAUAAAUAAGACAUAAUUGUGAUUGAAUACACUGAUAUCUGCAUUUUGUAGGCACAUUAUUGAUAAGAUAAAAGGAUGCGGAUUUGGAGCUAAAAAGGAUCAAAAGGAAGCAAAGAAGUGCAACUGAGACUUGGAGCAGACAUGGCCUCAGUUAUCGUAGUCAAGGUCAGUUAAUAAGGUCAACCUACCACGGUCGCGGUAGCCGGGGUUGCAGCCAAGCCUAUGUGAUCGCGGUCUAAAAUAAAAAUGCAGCCUAAGGGCAAAAAUAUAAAUACACUUGGCUGAUCCCAAAUUUGACAAAAGGAAGAAUCAAACCCUAAUCAUUCAUCACAUUCCAUCUUCCCCAAUUUUUAGACAUUGUUCUAGGGUUUGUAGUCUCCAUUCUUAGAGAAGAAUAUAUUGUAUAAAUUUUGGGUGAAGAAUAUUUUGGAGUCACUUCCAAGUGAAGAAUUAGUGAACUCCUAUUGAAGAUUUGUUGGAUCUCAUUGUUUGAAGUAAUAUUCACUUAGAUUUUCUCAAAUCAAAUCAAUGAAGAUUUUGGGUAAAAUCUUUACUUAUUUAUCUUAUGAGUAGCUAGUUUUUCCUCUUCGGAUUAUGCUAGAAUAGGGUGUAAAUAUGUGUUGGGUGUGAUUUGUUUGUGCAUUUACUAGUUUGUGAUGUUGGAUUCUACUAUUUCUUGAGUAAAUUGGUUGGAAUUUAUGGCUGAAAGCCCCAAAUACCUAAAUGGGUUUGAUCGAUGAAAAUCCCAAGCUUUAGAAAUCUCAAACCAUCCUUGAAAGAGGAGUUAGGGUGAAUUUUAGGAACCCACAUCAUCCUUGAAAGAGGGAUGUGGGAACCAAGGCAAUAAUAGAUAAUUUAUGAGCAUAGUUGACUUAUUUUCACUAUCUUAGCAUAAGGAUGAUUGUGUAGUUGACUAUACUUAGGGCACUAUCCUAGAAAUAGGGGUGUCUAAUUGAGGUAUUAGGUGGUUUGAUUGAAGCACUCAUUAGGAACUCGAAAGGGUCAAUGAGUGACACCCUCGAAGUUUUGUUGACAAACUAGCCUCAAAAAUUUUUAACCUAUCCUACCACAUCACCAACACUUAGAAUUUGCAUCAAAUUAUCACACUCAUGCAUAUGUUUUCCCUGGAAAAGUAUAAUCCCAAGAUCUGUGCCUAAUUGCCUAGACUCUAAUUAUUCGUAACCCCGAAUUAAUACUAGAAAAUCUCAAAAAGAAACAUUAGUGUUAAUACCGUUCUCAUCCCCCAUUUUAAUCUUUUUGUAACAUCAGUUUGAAUUUAACAAGUAUACAUUAUUUCGAAUUAACUUGAUUGUCACUCACAUUGUUCCUCAUGGAUUCAUCCCUAACUCUAAAGUUGGAUAAAUAUAUUGACGAUGACCGCCGUGUACUUAAAUUGACGUGUAAGUUGAGCGUUAUCAGAUACCUUGUUAGGAUGAAAUGAUGUAUUUAGCAAUGGUAGAUUGGUGGGAACGCUAGGUAGCUAGAGGGGUGGUUCUCACUAUGACUUUGGAUUAGAAUCAGCUAUCAACGAUGCUUGUUGAGUACAUGUGUUUCAUACUCACCCUUGCUUCUUUUUCCUUUUUCUUGUGUUUCUAUACUCUAUGCAGGUAUUGGUUCGAUUAGUAGAUCGUUAAGUGCAUUUAUUCGAUGUUGAUAUUACGGAGAUCGAGAUAGUAGUUAACGCUUUAUUGAGCUUACCUGAAUCUCUUUUUAUUUAUCUUAUGCUUUAUCUAGAUUUAAGAUACUGUAUUUUAUUGGUACUAUUCUAUAUUUAGAGACUUGUACUAUUGACAACCAAGCCUGAGAUGUAUCUUUGAAAUUAUCCUUUCGCCUUUAAAUAUUUUGGAAUUAUUCGAUUCUUCUUUUUUUAUUUUAUUUUAUUUUUUCAAUUAUUGAAUUUUGAAUUGGAAUAGGCUUACUUGUACCAGGUGGUGUGACAAGUGCUAUCAGGUGCUCUAUUUUGAAUUGUGGCAGUAUAAUUAUCAAAAUAUAUGUAAUAUUAAUUGAAGAAUCCCAUACUCUACUUUUAUUUUUUUCUUCUUAAUUAUUCUUAAGGUUUAAAAAGCUUAACCCGCUGCUAUCUGGUUUUUAUUUAAUUUUUCUAAAGCCUAAAAGCAGUGCUGCUUUCUGUUUGUUUGUUUUUCAUUUUUAAGAAAAUAAAAUGAAAGUACUAAAAGAAUAGCGUGGUGUCAUUAGAAAACUAGAUUAAAGUUCUUGUUUAGAUUUGACCUCUAUGUACGUUUUUAGAUGUGCUGGCAUGAAAUUGGGAUCAUUGGAGAGUUUAUCAUUAUGUUCGCAAGUUUAAUUGUUCUAACAUCGAUUAAUUAAUUACUCUAACAUCGAUUAAUUAAUUACUGUAUGUUUUAAAUUUUAGAUUUUUUAAUUGACAAUGUGGUGCAUGAUUUAUUUCUGAACAUUUUGUCGAUCUUUGUUUAUUUAUUGUUAGUAGCAUUUUUUUAAAAAAGUAGACCUUUUCUAUUUUGCUAGAGGAACAAGAAUUUCAAUAUAACAUGGUAAAAUAGCGCACUACAUACGAGCUAGAACAGCUGAAAUCAACUGUACAGACAAAAUCGACAUUUCAUUCCUUCCCUUUGAUUUUUUUGAGAAAAAAAAUUCUUUUGAAAAAUCCUUUUCCUUUAUCAUUUCUUUUCCUUGUAAGUAAACUAGCACACUAUUGUCUUUUGCUCGCCAAGUUAUUUUUUUAGAUCUUAUCUUAAAAGUAAUGGUGCAUCCGUAUACUUGAAAUCCUUAAUUCACCUCUGGCUUUGAGAUAGUUAUGACUAUUAAUAACGUGACUUAAAGAUAAAAAUAUGAUUUGACAGUUUUGAUAAUUAAAACAUGUGAUGAGUUCCCUCGAAAAUAUUUAAUAAUUUUGGAAGAUGGGGGGAAAUUUGCGUGAACCAUGCUUACAAGAAUGACACACAACGAGAAAUAAUGCAAAACAUGCGAUAUAAAGUAUUGACGUUUAGAAAUAACAUGACAUUAGAAAUAAAAGACAAGUUUAAACUUAUUUGUUUUUCAAAAUAUAAAAAUGUGUACUCUUUUGUAACGAGCUCAAAAAAGAAUAUUUAAUAUACCAAUAUCCAGUCAAAGACUAUUUAUGAAAAAACAAAAUUUGGCACAUAUCUAAAUGUCUUUAAAACUCAUCACCUUAAAUAUGUCAAGACUAGGGGGUAUGACCCGUGUCAGCACAGCCCAACAUGAAGAAUAUUUUUAGUAUUUUAAAAUUGAGUAAACUCUUUAACACGACAUACAAACUCUUAAAAUUGAGUAAACUCUUGACACGACGUUGACUUUGUGCUCCACAAUAUAUAAUUUUUCCAGAGAUAGUAGUUUAUCACGAUAUACACUUGAGCUUUUGAGAAGCCGGUGCAAACUCUCAAGUGAGAUAAAGCAAUUCACUUCCUUCACAAGCUAUACGCCUACGAAUUUCAGUAAAAAACAACGAAAGAUCAAGCUUUCCACUAAUUCAACCCAGUAAAUUCGUCGAAUAACAAAACAACAAGAAGGUUCAAUCUUUCAAGAAACUCAUUCAAAAUUCACCAACACUGUAAAGUAAAAACAAAAAAGUAUCCAAAAUGCAAUGAAUUGCUUCUUCCUAUGUUAAAAUUAGUAUCCCGGAAGAUCCAAAUUCGUAAACCAAUUCACUCCCAAAGGAGAUAAAGCAAUUCACUUCAUCUCCAAGCUCAACACCUAGGAAUAUGAGGAAAACAUCAACAAAAGAUUCAAGGUUGCCAUAAAUUCAACUCAGUAAACUCAUCAAAUGACGCAACAACAAAAAGUUCAAUCUAUCAAGAAACUCAUUCAGAAUUCACCAACCACUGUAAAGUAAACAAGAAAAAUGCAUCCAAUGCAAUAAAUUGCUUCUUCCUUUAUUAAAAUCAGUAUCUUCUAUGUUUUUGUGUUUUAUCUUUAGUGCAUAUAGAACUUGUAAAACAGGCAAAAUCUAGUCCAGAUUUCACGAGUUCUAUGUAUACACUUCUUAUUCUUUGUACAGAAAAAUCAGCAUUUAAACUCUCGGCCUCUUUUUCUUCUUCCUUCUCAGUUUGUCCUCUUGGUUAGUGGUAUUACCAACAAAAAGGCUGAUCUUUUACAAAUAUUCUGUUGGAAUUUGUCUCAUUGACAUGGGAGGCACUGAUUCAAUGCUGAUAAUGAGGCAGAAGAGCUAAAACAAAAACGCUCCUCAGUUGUCCCUUCAGUUCCAGAUAUAGCUUUGGUCUAUGACCAAAAAAGCCAAGAGGGAAUAACAAUAAUACUACUACAUGGCCAUGUGGUAUGAAAUACUUGGCUUAAUCUUAAACAAGAAAAAAUACAGUUUGCAUUCUGGCAAAGAAUGAGGUCUCACACUUUUCUUUUCUGUCAAUUUAUUUUUCUACGUCUACCCUUUAUAAUGAGUGGCGGAGCUAGAAAUUUGACGAAGAGUGUGCAAAUUUUUUUUUCAAGUUGCGUUAAGGGUGUGAAAAAUUAAAUACACACUCAUAAUAACUAACAUUUUAGCCUAUAUACACAACAUAAUUUUCCGACUAAGGGUGUGCACCUGACCAACCUUCGAUAUAGGCGGCUCCGUCCAUGCCUUUAUCCCAAAAGUUCUUAUCAUAUUUAUGAAUCUCACUAAAAACUUUCUUAUAGUCUUUCAAGUCAAAAACAUGGUUCAUAAAAGAAAGCGAAAAACAUACACAACUGUACAAAGUAAUCCAUGCGUACACAAGCUUUCCAAAACCACACAAUCUUCACAAAAUAACUCUAGAAACAAAAAUCUCGACACUUUCAAGUGUGUUCUUUGUUCAAGUACAUGAGAUGCACACCAAUAACCAACAUUAUAGCACGUUUGUUCAAACAAAACCUAAGCUAUUCAAUUUAAUAAUUUGAAUUUUUGUACAAAUUGACUCAUCAAUGAAUAUAUAUAUAAUCCAAUUUUUUUUAAAUGAGUUGAGUGAGUUACAACUUUGGGGUCUAAGGUUGCAUUGUUUUUUCCAAGAUUCAGACGUCUGAAUCUGAAUGCACAUCUAAAUGAUUAAGAUGUUGUCUUUAGAUUUGAAAACUGAAUGAUGUUGUCUUUAGAUUAGAAAACUGAAUGAUUAAUAUUGUUUGUUUUUCAAUAUCUGAAUGUGUAAAAAAAAUUUAUUUGUAUAUAUAAUAAAAUAAAAAAAUACAAUUCAAAUUAAAAACAAAUUAUAUAUUAGAAAAAUAUAUAAUUUAAUACAACAAAUUAUUAUUUAAAAGGGCAGCCCGUUGCACUAAAGCUACCGCUAUGAGCGGUGUCCGGGGAAAGGCCCCACCAUAAGGGUGUAUCACACGCAGCCUUACCUUGCAUUUCUACAGAGGCUGUUUCCAACAAAUUAUUAUUUGAUUGAAAAAAUAUAUUUAUGUUUGUUAGUGAUAGUGGAGAUAGUUUAUUAUGGUGGUUGCGGCGACAAUGAUUGAUGUUAGGAAUCAAUAAUGUUGGUGGUAAUAGUUGUGAUAGUUGGUAUUGUAGUGACUGUUAUGAUGAUGGCAGUUGAUAGUGGUGGUGGUGGUUGUGAUGUGACGUUGAUGGUAAUAGUUGGAGGUGUUGAUUGUGAUGGCUGAAAAAUGAAUGCAUGAUGGUUGACGAUGUAUUGGUUCUAGUUGGAGAUGUUAUUAGCUAUGAUGUUGGAGAUGGUUGUUAGUAGAGAUAAAUUAUAGCGAUGGUAGUGGUUGAAGUGCUGGUAGAGGUGGUGUUACUAGUGACAAUGAUUGUGGCGGCCGAAGAAUGUGUGGAGGUUGUGAUGUAUUAGUGGUAGUUAGUGGUGGUGCUAGUUGUGAUAGAUAAGUUGAUCGAUAGCAGGGAUUGACCGGUAGUGGUUGAUGAUGGUGGUUCUGUUGACGGUGGUGGUGGGGGUGAAUAUAAUUAGAAUAAUAGAGGUAGUAGGUGUGGUAGCGAUCGACAAUAGUGGUUGGUAGCGAAAUUUCUUGUCGAUGGUGGUUGUGAUGGUGGAGGUGGUUGGUGGUGGUGGUGUUGGUGGGUGGUGGUUGAUAAUGGUGGCGGUGGCAGAGGUGGUUAGUGGUGGUGAUUGAUGAUUAUGAACAGAGUGGCGGUGAAUAUUAUCUAACACCAAAAUAUCUUUUCAGACCUAUUAAGACUUGAUUCUAAAUCUGAAUGAUUAAGACGUAUUCAGACCUAUUAAGAGCUAAAAUCUUGAAAAAAACAAAUGCACUUACUGGUCUAAAGUCUGAACCAUUCAAAUUCAGACCUCCAUUAAGUACAAACAAAUUAGCCCUAAAUUAGGUAGCCCUGAGUUCAGUCAAUGUAAAUGCUAUAGCUGCAACAUUAUGUUUUCCAAAUCAAAGUAGAACAGAAAUUCCUUUGAAACAUCUACUUCAACCUCUGAUGGAUUUAACUAAAAACAACACCAACAUUAAGGCAGCCCUACCACUAAUACUAUGUAUAUAUCAACAAAAUCAAACUUUGAUUAAAAAAUCGAAAUCAGGUUUAUCAGUUUCAAUAGAAGCAUAAAGGAUGAACAAAAUGAGAUUCCAUUCUCUUACACAGAAUCCUGUCUCUUUGGUUUAUUAUCCAUAUAAUACAUUUUUAGACCAGGGUUAUUUGGUAUACCAAAUAAGAUAAAUAGGGAUAUUCCAUGCAUGAGAUUAUUUUAUCGCAACCGACAAUGUUCAUAUGGGAAUUGGGAUAAUAAUCCUAUCAUUUUAGUAUAGCUCGAGUUUAGUUAAUAGAGUACUUCAUACUAAACAUGAAAAGUUGAUCUUAAAACUUUAUCCGGGAUUAUAAUAGUCAAAAGCAACAACAUGCAUUUUGUCCCUAUUUUACAAAUGUCAUACAAAAUUCUUUAUAUUAUUCACAAAGACAUUUCAGAAGCUAAGGGAAUUGCUAUUAUUCACAAAGACAUUUCAGAAGGUAAGUGAUUCUCUGCUAUUGGAAAUGGCUUCUCUUUCCACCAGCUCUACUUCUUUUCUUAACAAGGUAUGAGGAUUCUUGCAAAACUCUUCUUUUUUUUUUUUCAAGAAUUGAUCAAAAUCAAUGUAAUCUAACUUUGUUUAUUCACUUUUAUGUACAGAAUGUUGUGUAUUUAUCUUAUUUAUCUCCCCUAAAUAAAUUUCCUACUCAAAAUCCCAGGAGAAGAUUUUCCAAGAAAAUUAUUAACGUGAUCACACAGCCAAGUUCAAGAAUGCCUGCCACCACUGGCUCAGUUAGAUUUAUUUUAUUUACUAUUAAAUCUUGUAUGGUAGCCCAAGUCAGUGGGUAUAUUGUUGUUAUCCAUAUGAGCAUUACCAUGUGAGUCAAGGUUAAGUAGUUCUUUCUCAUAGUACUUAGACGGAUCUAAAUGCUUCUGUAUAUAUUUCCAUCAGAUCAUAUCAUGCAACUUUAUUGAUAAAUCAUAGAUGUCCCAUCAAAUAAGCAACCAAAAUUGAAAAAGCACUCCUAAUUUGACGAGAUGAACUAAUGUCGUAUUACAUGAAGGCAUCACCAAUAGAGUGGACCAAAAAAAUUAGUUUCCCAAGAUAACUUGAUUCUUACAACUCAAGAAGAAGGAUAGGAGUAAAUUUCUACCUGCCUAAGAUAGGAUAACUAGGCUGCUACUUAUAUUCUUGCUGAGCGAAGAAUAUUUUGUCAGCUUUCAAGUCAUGUAUCACUGUAAUCCUCGACAGCAUGCAACUUUAAAAUUGUUCAUAAAACUUUAGCGUUAGUUCAGUUCAUAAGCAGUUGCAAUCAAGACCAUUCACAUAAAACUAAGCAGGAUCAAGAAGAAAGAAACAACCAAUAAUUGCAGCGAAAAGAAAUGGGGCAGGAGAAGUACAUAUGAAUAAGAGAUUCUAUGUUAAAUAGCCAUAAGGCACCAAAGUAAACUUCAAAUCAACACAAAUUUAGACAAAACCACAUGGAAAGAAUCAGAAAGAUGCAAAUCAUAAUGCAGACCGUAAGAAAAUUGCACAUAAAAGCACCUCCAUGGCCAGAGCUAUCGCGAGAAUUUAGUAAGUCGGGCCACGAUAUUCUAAGUAUGCAGCCAGAAGUAAAUAAGAAAAAUACAAAUAAAAUACCUGAGGAGACUACGCAUCCAUGACUGCAGGUGUCCAACCUACAGACAUCUCCCAACGUAUAUAAUAACCUUAUCACAGCAAGAAAACAAAAACGCUAGUCAAAGCUUGAGAAGUUUUAAGGAAGUUACACCCGCAGUAAUCAACAACAUAACCAACUUAUAACAUUUUAAUCUUGAUACUGAAAGCAUAUCCAAAUAUAUCUUUUACAAACCAUGACAUUUUUUUGUACUAACAAUCUCCAUGAAAAUCAAAAUCAUUAGAAAAAGAAAAAAGCACCUCUUGCAAGCAAUAAUCGCAACAAAAAUGCUCCAAAAGCCGAAACUUCACGGCCAAAACAUAUCAAAAAUCACAAAAAUAAGAAGAUAAAGAAUUGCAAAAAGCUCUAAUUUUUAGAACUUUUAGGUGACUUGAACAAUCAUUAAUCUGCAGACAUUAAUUUCUAACACUAAAAUUUGUAAGCCUUAGGAAAACCCACAGAUCUAGAUAUUGUAAGUCACUUGCAUAUUUUCUUCUCUUUUACCAAAAGGUUUUAUCAAAUCAGUUGCACCUAAAUUCUUAUCAUCUAUAUAGAAUAACACCAAUUCCAUCACCAAGGAAUCCAUCCACCCUAAAAGAGUACUUUCUUACACAAUCAAAGGGCAGUCACUAAAGUUCCAUUACCCGUAAUCGAAUCUAAAACCAAGCCGCAUCACCAAAUAUUUCCUUUACCCAUUAUCCAAAUUUUCAAAAAAUCAGUGAACCCAUCCACUGUCGAUUCAGACUAAACAUUUCAUUUUUGAAGCGAAAAGAAAAAGGUGAGAAGAAUUAGAAGGGCUCAAAUUAGGAACAUGCAAGAAGAAUUUUACACCAAUUUCAUUACCAAAGAACCUAUCCACCAUAAAAGUGUGUUUUUUUACCCAAUUUUAAUUAUCCAUUCACCAAAUUUCAUUACCAAAAUAUCAUUUAAACAGAGACAAAAGAAUGAAGAAAGAAUUAAUCAAAAAUAAGCAAAUGAAAGAAGAGAAAACACGAACUAAAUGGAAAAGAGGUGUAAAAACUCUACCAAUUCUAAUCUUGGAAGAGGCUAAAUUGCAAAAGACAGAGACUAUACUCGUAAGACUGCAGGAUGAUGCAUUUGCUACCGCACACACAUGGACAUAAAGUCGCUUCCAGUCAAGACACGUAGAUUGUUAAUAUGUGAAAUGUCCGAAAUAUCCUUUAAAUUCAAUUAAUUGACACAACCAUGUCAAACUCUCUUUUCUCACUACAACAAAAUGAUAUAUAGCUACGAGAUAAAAUUCAUCACUAAUUAUUCACUUUUCAUGAUGAUAAUUACAUUUCGUAUCUAAAUACAUGAAGUACAUACUUUUAGUGAUAAGACAUAAAAUUUUGUAGCAAAGCUUUGUCCUCUAAAGUUUCCCACCAAAAAAUAUUUUGGCUCCAUUUAUUAAGUAUCAUUAGUGACGAAUUUUAAGUUUUUAAUGACACCAUUUUUUGUGGCUAAUAACAUAUUCAAUUCGUGACAAACUAUUAUUUAUCUUAAAUUAGUUACAAUUUUAGACACAUAAAAAUUUCAUCAUAAAAAUAAGUUAUUGCAAUAGCGACAAAUUGAUUUCUUUCACAAUGGCCCCCCCCCUCUCUCUCUCCCAACGGCUCUCUCCCCCUCUCUCUCUCUCCCUACCCUCUCUCCACCCCCAGCUUACCGGCCCCCGAUCCCUGGCGCCGUCGCUGACCUUCGGCGCCAACCCGAUCCGGCCGCCGGCUCUGACCUAAGGUCGCCGGCGCUGGCCAGACCGCUGGCUACGACCUCCGGGCGCCGNNNNNNNNNNNNNNNNNNNNNNNNNNNNNNNNNNNNNNNNNNNNNNNNNNNNNNNNNNNNNNNNNNNNNNNNNNNNNNNNNNNNNNNNNNNNNNNNNNNNNNNNNNNNNNNNNNNNNNNNNNNNNNNNNNNNNNNNNNNNNNNNNNNNNNNNNNNNNNNNNNNNNNNNNNNNNNNNNNNNNNNNNNNNNNNNNNNNNNNNNNNNNNNNNNNNNNNNNNNNNNNNNNNNNNNNNNNNNNNNNNNNNNNNNNNNNNNNNNNNNNNNNNNNNNNNNNNNNNNNNNNNNNNNNNNNNNNNNNNNNNNNNNNNNNNNNNNNNNNNNNNNNNNNNNNNNNNNNNNNNNNNNNNNNNNNNNNNNNNNNNNNNNNNNNNNNNNNNNNNNNNNNNNNNNNNNNNNNNNNNNNNNNNNNNNNNNNNNNNNNNNNNNNNNNNNNNNNNNNNNNNNNNNNNNNNNNNNNNNNNNNNNNNNNNNNNNNNNNNNNNNNNNNNNNNNNNNNNNNNNNNNNNNNNNNNNNNNNNNNNNNNNNNNNNNNNNNNNNNNNNNNNNNNNNNNNNNNNNNNNNNNNNNNNNNNNNNNNNNNNNNNNNNNNNNNNNNNNNNNNNNNNNNNNNNNNNNNNNNNNNNNNNNNNNNNNNNNNNNNNNNNNNNNNNNNNNNNNNNNNNNNNNNNNNNNNNNNNNNNNNNNNNNNNNNNNNNNNNNNNNNNNNNNNNNNNNNNNNNNNNNNNNNNNNNNNNNNNNNNNNNNNNNNNNNNNNNNNNNNNNNNNNNNNNNNNNNNNNNNNNNNNNNNNNNNNNNNNNNNNNNNNNNNNNNNNNNNNNNNNNNNNNNNNNNNNNNNNNNNNNNNNNNNNNNNNNNNNNNNNNNNNNNNNNNNNNNNNNNNNNNNNNNNNNNNNNNNNNNNNNGUUGUGUCAAAUGUAUCAAAAUAUCCUUUAAUCUUAUGGUUCUAAACAUAUCAUGUGAAAAAUUGAAAUUAAAGUAUUGCCAAAAAAAAGAAAUUAUUUUUUUUAAAAGGAUUAAAAAGAAAAGUAUAUCAUUCUUUUUAAAAUAGAAGGAAUAAUUUAUAUUGAAUUAAUCAUUUGUGCAUUAUUUUUGGGUUAUAUUUCUCUAAUCGAGUCUAUCAAAAGAACAAAAAAAUAAAAUAAAAAUUAAAAUGAAUGUAAAAGGCCACAUAAAUGUUUAGAGGAACCACUCUCUAUGUCACUUGACACUGCAAGGGAGUUUUAUAUUAUGGGUGUGUUUGGUACGGUGGAAAAUGUUUUCCUAUUUUUUCUUCUUUGAUUGUAGUAAAAUAUUAGAAAAAUAUUUUUUAAGAUAAUUAUUUUUCUCUAUUCGAGGGAAAAUGACUUUCCUCAUGGAUUAAGGGAAGUCAUUUUUUGAAAAAUGACAAAUGUGAUUUAUGUCCCUAUGCCUACCCCUCUUCCCCACCCCAACAAUACUCAUAUUCACAUGACUCAAAAAAUUCAUAUUUCUCAAAAAUUUACAUUACUCGAAAAUAUUUUUCACUGUGCUUUGUUUCAAUUUUUUACUGCUUAAAACAAAAAAUAGUGAAGCCUAAAUUUUUUUCUUUUCCAAUGUUCGUUGAAUGUAUUGUUAUUUUCAUAUGUAUAGAGGAAGACUUACCUAUACUACUUUUGCUAAUUGCAUAUUUCAUUUUAUCAUCGAUGUAACUUGUUUCACAAGGUUGAAUAAGCUUGUCGUUUCGUUAUAUUUUUAUUACUUGUAAUAUCUUGAGAUUGUCCUAACAAAAUAUUGAAAAGUGUCUCAUAUAUUUGUUAAUUAAUAGUUUCUUAAAUUUAGUGAUUGUAAUAUUUUAGUAUUCGAUAUUAAUAUUAUUUGCUAUGCUUAAAUUAGUUCUAACAAAUUGUUGAGUUGUUAGAGACACUGAUAUACUAGUUAAUAGUUAGUAGUAUUUUCUAAAAAAUAUUUUUUUACUCACCAAUCAAACACUAGAAAAUAUUUUUUUAAAAUUAUUUUCUACUCACUAACUUAACACCAUAAAAUAUUUUUCGAAAAAUAUUUUUCACUCACCAACCAAACACACCCUAUAUGUUACAUUGUUUCCUAUAACUCUAUAUUACCACAGCAAUUUAAAAGUAUUUGAAUAAACGAUGCUAUUAUAUAAAAAAGAUUUGUAAUCCUUGUCAUUCACCGUUUGUUUUCUAGCUAAAGCUAAGGCAUAAUACCUCUUUAAUUUGACCUCAAAUCACAUUUAUGACCUUUAAUUUUUGGUGUGCAUAAAUAGAUACUUAAAUUUGUAUAAAGUUGAACAAGUAGAUAUACAUGUCUUAUGUGGCAUAAUACAUGUAGGACGUCAUGUAGGACAAGAAUUGAUCAUGUAAAACACAACAUAGGACAUGUAUGUUUACUUGUUGAACUUUAUACAAGUUAAAACGUCUAUUUGUACCCACACAAAUUGAAGGAUUCCAUAAAUAUAAUUUAAGGCCAAAUUAAAAUAUAUAUUUAUGUAUUAUGACUAGAACUAAAGUCUUUAAGUUUGUUUGUAAGGGAACAAGGAGGUAGAACCAAAACGACACUCACCUAAACGGGGCAUUAUUCAUUAACAAUGGUAGGGUACAUUCAUUAUCAUGAAUAGGAAACAUAUACUAUGUAUACUUUGGGCAAAAGUUGAGUUUGGUUUCAUGUAUGUGAUAUUUAAUUUAUAUGUUAAAAAUAUAAUUAAGUAAAUAAAAAAAAUAUUUUUUAAAAUAAUUUAAAUUUUUACGUGAGAUGAUUAUACUGUAUAUAUAUUUCAUACACUUCAAUAUGGUAUCAAAGCAAAUAAUGGUCAUGACUCAUGAGUUUGAAUCUGAACGCCACCAAUUAUAAAAAAAAAACACAUAUUUGAUCCAAAAAAAGAACAAGAGAGAAUCAAGCCCGAAAGCGCAUGAGGGUACGUGUUGAAGACAUAACUAAGUGAAUAAUUUGUGCUCAUUUGGUCAUGAUUUUUUUUUCUUUUAUCCGAUUUUUUUUCACUUUAUUCCAAAUACAACUUCAAAUUUGUAUUUGUCUAUGAGAAUUUCAAAUAUAACUUGGAGUUGUUGGAAAAGUCAAAACAAAUAAAAUUUAUUUUUAUUUUUUUCAUUCCUACUUCUCUCACAAAAAUUCAAAAACGACUUUAAUUUAUAUUCUUGGUCAAACACAACUCCAACUCCAAUUCCAACUUCAACUCCAACUUCAACUUCUACUCCAACUCCAAAAAUUAUGAUUUUCAUGAUGAAACGUCUAUAAAUAUGGUUUCUCUAACAACUUAAACAUUUAAAAGAAAUAGCCACGCAUUUCAACAGGUACAACAAAUUCAAGUUAUGUGUACUCUAUAUAAGGAUUCCUUUUACACUAUCAGUGAAGUUUACCCUACAAUCAUAAUAGGUAAGUUAUAUCAACUUUAUUAGAUUAAUAAUCAAUCUUUACAUCAAGAUAUUUAUCUAUACCUAAUAAAUGAUCGGAUUGUAUAAAACUUCAGCUCGCCAACAUUUAUGGUGAAGUAAUAAGUAUUUAUUUAUUUUUUUAAUUAGAGAUUUCGGGUUCAAGUUCUGAGUGUGAAGACGUUUCAUUAUUAGGGAGUGGUAUACAUCGACAUGAGACUUUUUACCAUUAUUUUGAAUUAACCAGGCUCCUCCAAUAGAGAUGUCGAAAAUCUAGUGAAAAAAACAAAGUGAAAAGGAAAACGGAUUAAACUCUCAAACAAGGUACUCCAUAUAUUUUCUCACUUUCUUUGUCUAUAUAUGUUUCUGCUUUUCUGUUUUGACAAAACUUGGGAAGUAGUAUUAUUUAGAUGGAAUUAAUGUUGUUUCCAUUUGGUACUUGGGGAAGUGACCUCCCUCGGCUCCCCCAACAAAACAACUAUUAGCUAAAAACAAUGGAAAAAUGACAUUAAUUAAUUGAGAGGUUUAUUGAUUGUCAAGACUUUGGAUACAACAUAUAACAACCUUUGGUGGUAUACCAAAUAUGUUACUAGAGUGACUUUUGUCUGUUCUUAUUCUCUGUUUUCUUAAUUUGGAAGUACAACAACAUUGCUUAUCUAUAUACUACUACUACUUAUGGGUGCCGUAUCUAUGUUACGUCAUCUGCUUCUGUGCUGUACUAUGUGUUUGUGUGAUAUCUCGUGACUUGAGCCGGGGGUCUUUCGGAAACAGCCUUUCUACUUCAUCAGAGGUAGAGGUAUGGACUGCGUACAUCUUACCCCCCCCCCAGACCCCACUAAGUGGGAAUACACUGGGUUUGUUGUUGUUGUUGUUGCAAUAGCGACAAAUUAGAGUUUGUAGUCAAAUAUUGUAAUUUUUAACUACAAAAUUUGAUAUUUAAUUGUGAUCUCAAUUUUUGUCACUAAUACUAUAAACAAUUAGUGUCGAUCCUUUUAUUGCCUCUAAUUAACCUAUGAUUCAGCGAUAAUAUAAUUUUAUCACAAAAUAUGUCAUCAUAUAAUAGUGUGACGAUUUCAAAUUUGUAGCUGGAUAAUUUAACUAUUUGGUACGAAAAAAGUUUCAUAGCUAAAUAUAAAUUAAUCUUUGACUAUUCUUGUUUAUGAUUAUAGAAAAUGUAUAUCGAUAUAGCUAUAGAAAACAAGAUUCGAUGAAAUCGUGCACCUCUAAUGAAAUCUACUUCAUCGAAAAACACAAUGCAAGACUUCUUGGAGCAUGUCAUCUGUCAUAUCAAAUGACUCAAUGCUAAAGUUGAACCUAAAUGAGUUCAACAAUAAGAAUGUAUUGUCCGGCAGUGGAAUUUUGGUUUGUUAGAGUUGUGACCCAAAUUUUGUUGGUUCGGCCCUGAAAGUUUUGCGGUGCGAUCCAUGUUUGUGAUUUUCAAAGGGAUCUGUGGUGGUAGCGUAGGGAUCGGGCUGAUGUAUGGACCUUUAUAUUUUUGGGCUUAGGACCUAUUGUACGCACGUACUAUAUAAGUGCAAUUUAGUGGGUUAUUUUCAUUAUUCAGAUAAUUCAGCCUUUUUCAUAUUGUACUCUCUCUCCAUUAUAGUGAAACCUCCUCUACCUCUGUCCAUGGUUUUUUUGCAAGAGUUUCUACGUAAAUCUGUGUGUUGUUUUUGUUUCCUUUUACUUAUGGUUUGCUUAUUCUGUCUGAAUCAUAACAUGGUUCAAUAGUAAGGAUGUGAGGUGGCGCAGCUCACGAGUUUGGUUCAACAUUAUCAAAUUCAAUAUUGCAUUUCUACUAUCCUUUUUCUUUAUCACUUACAAAAGUAAAUUAUGUUUAGUAAAAAUAUGGACUAUGACGGUGAAAAAAAAAAUGAAAAGCAUCCACGGAGAGUAAUUUUUUUUGAAUUUAAGAUGGGCUUUUAGCCCGUUUUAUAAAUUAAAAACAAAAAAAAACGGAUUAGUCCACAAAAGGCGACCUGGGUCCAUCACAAAAACCAGACAUAGCAAGGAAAUUCCCUAGUUAGACAAACAUAUCAAUAAACACGAAAUAGAAAACUAAGACAGCCGCCGCCUAUCUCGUCAUCAAAAAUGGCUUCUCCAUCGACCCUCUGCUCCAAUUCAUCGAACCAAGAGUUUAGUUUAUCACCUUCCUUGUCAAAGUUAAGUUCCUUUUUCCCCUUCCUUCAAUUGUUAGUUUAUGGGUUGAGUUACAAUGAAGCUAAUACCACCAUCAUACUAAAAUUAAACUCUAGGGAAUUAGAAAAAUCUAGGUGGUUAUUGUUGUAGAUGUAAACUCUAUAUAUCAAUAAAUUGGCACUAUAGAUCCGAUUUCGUACCGUUUAGUUGCAUUGACCUUCAACAUCCAAAACUCCCACUGGAUAUAGGUGUAGUAAUCGCAAGAACUCAUUUCCAAUGGUAGAUGAAAUCAUUUCCACUGUCAAUCCCUGAUUCAUAUAAUUUGCAAUCUACUCACCCUUUUAAUUUGGUUUUCAUCUAGAUUGCAAGUACAUUUAAAAAAUUUCUUCUCAGCUGAAUUGACCAGAAAAGAAGGAACUGCCUUGAUGCCAACAGGUUCUUGUUUCUGACAAUCUCUGCCUGUACACUAUUAAGCAAGUUCUGUAAAUGAAGUACAUUCUUUCCUAUUUUGCUUCCUCUUUGUUGAUAUUGUGUCUCUGCUUGCACAUGUUAGGCAUUAAAAUGAGUAAUAUCUUCUUGCACCAUUCUUCUGAUUUUAGGAAUGCUUGUUUUAUCCAGUGUUAAAGUGGCUUUUCCUUGACUUGGUAAUUUCUCCUCAUAAUUGAAUUGAAAAUUACCUGCACAAGUGAACACAAAGUUAGCCAAAAAAUCAGCUAGAGUGUUACCUUCCCUAAGAGAAUGUACCAUUAUAACUGAUAUACACUCCAUCAAAUACUUGAUGGAUUUAACCACCAUUGCAAUUCUCCAUGGGAUUUCCCACUGUAAGUUCAAAAUUUGCACCAUACUCCAGGAAUCACUUUACAAAAAAAUCUACUUUAUGGAAUUUCUACUGCAAUAUAAUAAACAUUCCUUCAUAGCCAAAACCUCAACCCCCAAACUUGUGGAAUCUUUGAUUCUGAACCCCUGAUCUACCACCAAAUUACCUAUAUCAUCCCUUAUACAAAAUGCAAUAACACUGGGCCUAGGGUUUUCUUUUGAUGGACCAUUUAUGUUCCCUCUUAGCCAACCCCUGUGAGGAGGAGACCAUGAAAUUAACUUAAAAGUAGUCACUAAUCUUGUUGCUUGCAGUUCAUCCACAAUUCUGGUCCACUCUCUUUCUUUCAUUUGAACCCUAAAUUUCAGCUUGAUAAAUCUCACUAUAGUCUUAGCAUCCACGGAGAGUCUUUAAGUCCGACAAGAAUAAAAUUAGAAUAUUAUCAAAUUAAUCACACAUCUUGUAACUGAUUACUUGUUUAGUUCUAUAUAUUUCUUUGACCAAUUUAAAUACACCAGCAAAAAACAAAACAAGAAUGAAUAAAUCAUUCUAUAAAAAUGAAAAACAAGGUUCGAAGAGAUUUCAGGCUGAUUAGCAUGAGUUGGUUGCUGUAUUCUAAGCCUUACUACCAGUUAUGGCCAGAGAUAUACUAGGUAGAGAAGAGCCUACUGUUUAGCCAAAAAUUCUACUCUUGAAAUGCCAACAAUAGUAGGAUUUCUGACUAGCAAUAUGAUAAUGCACCAUGAAAUUGAGUGAUUCAAAGCUCCAGCUCAUAUCAAGGUUCUAAUACCAACACCAAAAGCCCAAUGACACAACAUAUGUAUAAUGAAAAAUGCCAUGACAUCUUUUAAAAUAUGAAAAUGGUUAGAAAUAUAACAAAGUUGGACAUUUGAAAUACGUAGUACUAUAAAUUCAAUAGUUUGCCAUAAAAAUUCAAGUUCAAACAAAAUUUGUAGGUAGACAAAAAACCUCCUAAACUACGUUCAAGGGGAACAACUGAAAAAAAAGAUACUUCAUAAACUGAAUUCACUGAAUUCUUCUAAUCGAAAAGACUGAACCCCAUGUCAUGAAAAAGAAAUUCGAGAAAAACAUAUAAGCACCGCCAUCAAAAGGUACUGAAGCCACUUUUCUCUGCCAACAACAAUCAGCUUAGUGAUAUCUUUGCCCUUAACUUCAGAGAGUAGUAAUUGAAUUCCAUCAUCUUCACUCUCAGCUCUAACUGCAGCAAAUAUUCAAAUUUUAAUUCUAAAUGGACCACUAUAACUAGUAGACGUGUAUGACAAAUAAGAAUAACAAGCCAGAACAAUUUAUAAUGGUAAUUUACAAUAAUAACAUAUCACCAGCUAUAAUACAUUACAUAAAAAUAGUGCAAUUUGAAUCAAUAUUUACAAGCUCAGAAGCAUCAACGGAUUAACACAUCAUCAGUUUAAGAGACUUCAUAGAGAAACCCAAAUACAAAAUAAUAUUUGAUAGGAUAAUUAGAAAGUAUCAACUUAAGACAUUUCAAGUCAAAUCAAUUACUGCAUUGUUCUUUAUGCAAGCUAAACAAGGACCAUGAAAACCAAAAACUAUUAACAUAUGAGGUAAUGUAACCAAGAUGCUUAACUUCAUGAAACUUCAUAACACCCUCUUCAAGGGGACAACGAAACCACUCCUUCAAUACCAAUUUACAUGAUUAUACAUUUAAGAACAUUUCCUAGAUCCCAAAAUAGUUAACACUAGUUCACUAACAACAUUGUUUUGGUAUAUAGCUUUCAUAAUUUCCAAAAUUCAUAUUAUCAAACUAAUUUUCCACAAUUCCUUGAACUCAUACUCGGUCAUACUUCUAAUUUACAAUGAAUAGUGUACUGUUCUCCUAAUACCAAAGAUAGAUAAUAUACAUGACAUAUACGUACCUCAUGUAUGUAACUACAGUAGCAACAACCCUAGAAAUAAACCACAUACUAGAUCCUACAUUUUAGGAAGUAGCAAAAACAAGUGCUCUAAGAAGAAAAAAAUUACACACACACAUAUUGUCAGUUCCUUUAUGUGAAUAUUAAGGAGAUACAAGAACAAACACUCAGGUCCAAAUAGCACUCUUGAAAUAUUUGUGAUGAAAAAUAUAACUAUGGUGAUAGAUAAUCUACAUCUUAUGAUCCAAAGAUUGAGCAGAAGAUACACUUAAGUAUUAUAAGAGCAUUGACAUUCCUCUCUCACCGAGCAAGUCUUCUAACUAUUAAAGAGCUAUAGCUAGUAGAUUAUCCACCUUAUUCACAUCCAACUAAUAAAAUAGAAUUGUAGAUAUAUGAACACAUAAAUAUAGAGAAACAUAUGUAUUCCUCCAGGAAAAUAACAGGUCUAAACAAAUGUUGACCAUGUCUCAUUAUAAAAAAAUAUGGCAUGAUCAUAACAUCGAAUAUGCAUGUUCUUUUUUUCAGACCAAAUAGCUUUUCUAGUUUUUAGCUAAAGGUUAUAAUCCUCAACGAAAUGUUAGGCUCUUAAUAGCGAUGCUAAUAAAGGAACAUAAGAAAUGCUUAUUACUUAUAAAAGAAGUUUUACAAGAAUACUAGGAGAGAAAACAAACCUUUGUCUCACUCUCACACUUUGAACCAAUUUUGCAACAUCUGUGAGGAACCAGAAAAUUAAACAAAUCAAAUGUAAUGGGAAAAGUUAAUUGAUUUAUAAUGUGCAAGAUCAUAAUUGAUGAUAAGAAACUGCAAGCCAGGAAACCAGUCACAUAUACAUUAAAAGAAAAUGGCCAACAAGUAAGCAACGAUAACCUUACUUAUUAUGAGGUUAUAUCAUAAGUCAAUAUCGUCAUUGUCAUCUGUGAUAUUAGCUUCAUUGUUAGUUGUUCUAUUAUUACCUUCAUUCUCCUCAUGGUCACUAAUGUACUCAACCAUAGUAUCAUCCUCUUGGUCAGAAUCUUCUCCAUUAUAAUCAACUUCAACUUCAUAUUCUGUUUGAGCCUCCAAUUCAAUUACAUUUGCAUCUAUGGUAAUCGACUCAACAUCAUCUCUAUGUAGUUGACUCAAUAUAUCAUUUGUAUCAUUAACAAUUGAUUUACUUUCAAGUGAUGUAUCUUGAUACACUUCAGCAUUUGUAAUAGGCAACUCAUCAUUUUCUACCUCUGACUUUUCCUUUUCUGGAACAUCAUAUAUGUGCCUAGCUUGAAAUUUAAGCACAAUUCGCCAAUCUUCCCCUAGUUUUGGGUCAUUAAUAUAAAAUACUUGCUUUGUUUGAGUAGCUAGUACAAAAGGAUCAUGUUCAUACUGUUAUACCCCAUUUUAACAUGGGUUAAAUCGAGGUACAACAUAUUGGAAAACUUUUGAUUAAAUUUAAGGAAGUCGCCACCUAAUUAGUUCUACGGUGAAUUAGAACACCUAUUAUAAACUAAGUGAUCUAAAGAAAUGAAAGACUUCAUUUUAAGGUCUACGCAACUUAAAAUUCUAGGUAAGGAUUCUAUUUAUCCUAAAGGAAAGGGAUUAGGCACCCUAAAGGAUCCGCUAACUACGGUUAACCGGCCAAACUUAGAUUAGAUAAUGAAAUAAAAUAUUAAAAUAAGAUAUAGGUAAGGCGUAAAAUUUAUCUUUUAUAAGAUAAUUUACAAUAAUAAUAUUAAACCUCACCAUAGAACCUAUUUUUUUUAAAAUUAUUUAAGAUAAUAUUUUAUAAUACCUCCUAAAAAUGAUGUAACAUUAAUUUGUCAAAAAGAAAGUUAUUUAAAGUCAUUUUCUUUACAAAAAAAAAUUUAACUGAUAAUUAAAGAGCUAAUUAUAUUAAGAACUCCACAUUUUACAAUUCUAAAAAAUGACCCUUUUUCUUCUUCUUUUUUUUUUAAAUCAAAUUUCAUAAAAAUAAGUUAAUUUUCCUACACUAAGUGAAUAGAUAAAAUAUAUGGUUGUUUGAAUCUAAAAUGUUUGAGAGAAUUUACUUAUCUUUUUAUUACGAAAAGGACUCAUGUAAAAAAAUAUAUAUAUUCUUUGUUAUUUGAUAUCCUAAAAAAGGCCUUGCAAAAUUAAAUUGUCAACGUUUAUUUAAGAUUGAUGACAACAGAAUUAAUUUACCAUAUCUGAAAUAAUUAAGGCCAAUUUCAGAGUCUAGCGAUGAUAAAUUCUCCUAAAGCGAAAACCUAUAUUUUAUUAAUUUGACAUUACUAAUUAGCUAACUCUAAUUUUAUUCUAAAGGAAAAUGGCUUUCUAAUAAUUAGGUCAUCAAACUCUAAAAGAUAUAUUUUUUCUAUCAAAUUUUAACCUUUAAUGAUAUAGAUUAAAUGCCUAAGCCUAACAAUUAUACUAAAUUUAACAUCUAAUGAGCAAAAGAGAACAAUUAACUUCGCUAACACAUUUAGGAAAUCACACUAAUUCAAAUAAAAAAUAUAAAACACAAAUUUUAAAUAGUAACAUGCGAAAUGUUAAAGGAUGGUAAUAAUAGGUAUCUACAAAGAAAGAGAUAAGCUAGCAANNNNNNNNNNNNNNNNNNNNNNNNNNNNNNNNAAUGCAAUAUUUCUUCGCUUCUCUGAUUUGGACAGAGAUGGAGUCAAGCUAUGAGACCCCAAAUGCGCUCCCGAGUGUACAUAUAAAAAAUAAGAAAGAUAAGAAUCAGAUACUCAAGUUUCGAUGAAGAAAUAACACGAUUAAACAUGAUAAAUAAAAUGCUACAUACGAGCGAUUUAAAUAUUCCCACAUAAAACAAAUAUAUACAAAUGUAUUUUCAUGGCAUAAGGGUUUUGGAGGAUAAAGCAAUUUUACUACUAAAAUGUUGUAGCAACAAUGUAAGCACAGGUGCUACUAAUUUAAAAAUAUAGUUAAUGAAGAAAAACACUAGUAUGAUUGUUUAGAUAUCUACACCUUGAUACUUCUAAAGUGAUCACUUGUGAGUAAUAGAGUCAUAAUCCAUUCGUUGGAGUUUCCAUAUUUCCAUUAUAAAUGGACCUUAUUGAAUGGAAAGACAAAAAAAGAGAAAAAAAGCUUCCAUGCUAAACGGGAAGUAAGGUUCUGUAGAAUGCAUUGACAUUGAUGCACACUGCCCCACUUAUCAUAUACUUUCUCUCAAUCCUGCAAUUUUUGGAGUAGUAUAUUAUUUCUAACCAACAAAGCUAUAUUGCUAUUUAGAGUCCUCUUUCAAUAAUUAUGGAGUAAACUAUGCAGGUUUGAGAGGGUGCGUGUCGGUUUUGCUAAAAAAUAGCAUACUUUGUUAAAAAAAUUGACAUGAAUGCGAUAUCAAAAAUAAAGAAUUUGCGCAACUUAGACUUUAGUUAGGAUUGAGCCGAAGGUUUCCACUUUCUCUCCAGAACAAACUAUGCAAAGUUUGUUUUUAAUAGCACGUGAAAUUAGAUAACAAAGAGAAAAGAAAAAAAAAUUAAGCAAACUCCUCUGUUCUUGCACAUCUCAGCCUAACAACAUGUCUCUAGCUAAGCACCUAAAGAAUAUAUCCCUUAUUUUACAAAAGAAGAUAAAGUAAAAAGACCGAAGUAGAUCAUGUUGGCAUACUACAAUCAUCUAUUACAACUUCUAUGGAUAAAAUUCUUGAUUUUCAAACACUUAGUAAAUUCAAAUAAAUAUCUUAAAAAAUUUCCAGUAACUUAUCAUCAAUGGGCUUCUUGAUAUUUUAAGCUUAGAAAAUUUCCAGUAACUUAUCAUCAAUAGGCUUCUUCAUAUUUUAAGCUAACAAUACACGUAUUACACUAUUAUACCCCAUCUACUUAACAGAUUUCAUCGGCCCCAAACCAAGUUAAUGUAUCAUGGCUAAAUCAUAACGACGUGAAGAAUUUGAGAUAUGCGAUUGUAAUUUUCAUAUCUCUUCUUUCUUUUCUUUUUUUAAGCUCCUUACAUGCUAGAAAAUAAUAAUGAAAAUUAACAAAAAAUAAGGUGAAGGCAAAGAAAUGGAAAGUUAGAUCGACUGCACAACUAGUUACAAAUCAAGAAGUUAAAUAAAAGGAAAAAAAUAUGUCCAUGUGUUCCUCUAGCCACACACUGAUAUUAACAGGGGAACAACAUAAGCAACCUCUUUCAAACAAAUAAUCGAACAAAAAAAUUCAUAGAGUAGCUAGAACACAAAAAUUUAUAGAGCAUCUAGAACACUCCUAUGAUUGUGUUUAGUAAAAAAAAUAUUGAGAAAUGUUACUGACCUUUUCUAUGUCUGCGAACUAGGACGACAAGUCAAAGAACGAAUCUACCACUAUCCUUGACUAAAAACCUGAUCGAUGAAAGAAAACAGUGGCAGUGGUGAGAGUAAACCCAAACAAAGAAGAUAGAAAAUUUUGUAAAUUAAAAAUGUGGUCAUGAUUCUCCAAAAAAUCUCUCCAAAAAAACUCCCCUUUUUUCUUCUACUGAAUCCCCUUUUAUAUGGGUUCUUGGAUUGCAAUGCCUUUUUGAGGCUUUCAACAGUUCCUAAAAAUAAAUUUGAAUUUCGAAUUCAUUAGGAAGGCUAAUUCAAUAGGAUUAAUAGGUGAAAAGAAAUAAGGGUCAAAAAAGGGUUCAUUUCUUUUAAUCAAAUUAAAAAAAAGUGAUAAAUUAAAGGUAAUAGAGGCUUAAGUUCAUCGGAUUAAGCUCCAUAGCUGUCGAAUCAAGGGUGAAAUGCCUCAAAUCCAAUGGAUUUUUGGAGUUUCCUUUAUCUUUUCUGAGUUUGUAGAGCCUCAGGCUUGAUUUGCUGGAACAAAAAGAGAAAAGAGAUAGAAGGUGAUAACCCAACGAAUUUGUAUCCGUCCAUCGGUCUGAAGAUUAUCAUUUGGAGUUGUUGUAUGUUGGUUUUGCCACAGUUGUGUUGUUGAUUUUUCCAUAUUGCAUUGAUGUGUGCGUAUGUUGUUCAUGUAUAACUGUUGUUGUUUUGUUAGAAUGGUUAAGGGGAAGAGAGUUGGGCUGAGGCGGUAUGUUUAGGCUGAGUUAAGUGGGAAAAGAGGAAGGUGUUUGGGCCGAUGGGAUUAUUGUUGUUGGGCUGCACAGCUGAAAAUAUUGUUGGGUUUUGUUAGUGUAACGUCCCGAGUCUGUACCCCGGAUGCUACACGAUGCUUACGACCACGAAGGACCAUAAGCUAACCCAUGACUGAUAUCUGCUGUGAGCACUGAAACAUAUUACUGUAAGAAAUGCAGAAAAUAGGUUGAAAUGCCAUAAGGUUCAAAUCUAUAAAUAAUGCUAAAGUGUAUCAACUAAAAUAACAAUCUCUAAAACUGACCAUUGUUUGAAAACUAUCUGAAAAUCCCCUAACUGGAACUGUCUGAAAAUGGAGUUGAUGGGAAAUCCUCCACUAACUCUUUCUACUAAAAUACUGAGUCUACUAAAAUAAUAAAGUAAAAGAAUAUCCUCAAAUGAUGAGGACUCACAGUUAGUCUACUGUUGCUGGCUGAAUCUAAAUUUAUCUAUGCGCGAUCGGGAAUCUGAGCGUCCAAACCUAUGAUAUGAGACAUUAUAGCGCAAAGAAAGAGUAUGUGUCAAAACGUAAAAUUUACUGAUAUGCUAGAUGAGGUAAGGAUAAAUGCAAGGGUUCAUAUGCAUGAACAAUAACUGAUUGGUUGAUAUAGAGUAACUGAUCAUAAAAAUACAUGGAUAACUGAUACUGCCUUAAAUUCUGAGUAUGCAGUAAUGUGCAUAUAAAUAAAUAAUGUGACUAAGCUUGUCUGAAGCUAAGUCCUAAAUUUUGAUACUAAGUAGCUGAUAUUGACUAAGUUUGUCUGAAGCUAAGUCCUAAAUUUUGAUACUAAGUAGCUGAUAUCUGAAGUUACUGAUAAUUGAUUUACUGAUAUUGGUUAACUGUAUUUCACAGUCCUGAUUCUGUAGAACUGAACUGAGUUCUAUUCUAAAGAUUGAGACUGGGAAUAUAGGAGGUAAUCAUCUAACUGAUAUGCCCCAAAUAAGAUAACUGAGUUGGGGUCCAACCUGUAACCCAGUUGGAAGGGUGUCAGUACCAUGCCACGGGUAAAGACACUGAAGAGUUACCCUCAUCUGGCAGGUACUCAAAUGAGAACGGUGGAACCCUCAUCUGGCAGGUUAAAACACCUCAUCAACCAUCAAUUGGAAGGUUUGAUGUCUCAACCUACGCUGGCUACAUAGUUCUAGAAUGCUAGGAUUACUUCUAAGGAUUACACCCUCUACUGGAAAAUGAGCCCCCAUCCUUGGGUUCACGUAGUGCUGAAUCCUACUCCCAAAUGAAAGACACUGAACUGGACUACACUGAUAUUGAGUUUACUGAGUUUUCCUAAGUUCUGUAAUUGACUGAGUUCUGUAACUGACUGGAUUCUACUGAUUGGGACAUGACUGAUACUAUUCUGUAAUUGACACUGGCUCUAGGUGCACAACUAAAUUAUCGGGUAUUAAAUACCUCCAGGACUCGAUAGCAUAAAAAAAAAGCAUAGCAUGAUAUUGAGAUACACAACAAUGUACACUUGUCCAUAAUUCAUUCAUAAAAGCAUUUCAUCAAACACUUGCGGGGCAUAAGUUUGUACAUGAUUGGGAUCACAUAAUGACAUGUCAAGAUUCCACUAUCUACUUCACAUAGGCAUUUUAGCAAACACUUGGAGAGCAUGCAUAGGUUAUAAAAUAAUCAAAACAUAUAGUCAUCAUGGAUACAUCAAUCAACUUGCAAAUUGAAGGGUUUAUCAUGAAGAUCAUGUAAUUCAACACAUACAAUGAUUAAUUUCAUAAAAGCAUGUAAUUUAAUCAUGAACUAAAACUGAACAAUAAUUUGAACGUGAAUUCAAUUCAAUUCAAGCAUGGAAGUUCAUAAUUCGACUAUCUUGUAGUUUGAAAAUGGAUUUGUGGACUCUAUGGGUGAAAGGAACCCAUAGAUGAACACCUAACAUACCUUAAUUUUUGAGUUUCUUGAAGUUCUUGGUGAAUCCUUUGAGAUUGCUCUUGGUUUCUUGAAGCUAGGGUUUGUAGUUUUGAGAGAGAAUACUUUUAAUUUGGGGAUAAAUUGAGUGAGUAAUGAUUUAAAACAUUUUUAGGGAUAAAAUCACGUAUUUGGGCGUGUUAAAAUCACGGGAAAAAACUAUUUUAACCUUGGACAAAACAUUUAAUUUCCAUCAAAGUUUUUCAAAAUAGGCACCUGGCGCGAUGUGGUGCUAUCAUGCCGUGUCUCUAGAAAUUUCCAACUGGGAUGAUGCAUAGUGGCGUGAUGCAGUGGUAUCGUGUUCCCACUUUGGUUAGGACCUGGAAGUUCAUUGCGAUGCGGUUGAAUCGCAUUGGUACACUGGAAAUUGACAAAUAUGAAAAUAACCUAUGGCGCGAUGCGCCGGUAUUGUGGUACUUUAAUGGAAACUGACAAUUUCCAUUUUGACAUAAUCCGCGAUGUGCUACUGGCCUGAAUGACAGUGUUUAACGACUGAAACUUAUAAUAGCCAUAAAUUCUUAGCUGGUUAUCAAAUUUAGACGAAUUUUAUAUCGUUGGAAAGCUAAUUAAAUUUUCUAUAAAAUGGUAGGAUUUAAACUAAAAAAUACUGAGUGUUUCAAAUAUUUUAUAUUGGAUAACUCAUAAACUGAGAGUUAAGUUAAGCUUGAGAAAUAUGGGAUAUUACAUUAUCUCCCCCUUGGGAACAUUCAUCCUUAAAUGAGAAUGAUUAAGCUGAGACACUAAUAAACUGAUUUUACAUACUGAACAUGCAUAUCUGAUGCAUGACUACAUGACUAUACUACUGAUAAACUGAGCUCUUACACUGAACAUACAUAUCUGAUGCAUGGAAUUUAUGACUGAAGCUACUGACAAGCUGGGUUUUCAUACUGAACAUGUAUAUCUGAUGGAUGUGUACAUGAUUGAACUGAUUCUUGAAUGCAUGACAGAAUAUGCAAUAGAAAUGGAUACCAAUUUAUAAUUAUAGAUGAAUAUGAAACUGAGUAAAGAUAAAGAAGACUGUUACCUUUAGUUGGAUCUGAGGUUGCGAAGAAGAGG